UCCGCUGCCACGUGUUGCCGUCCCCUCGAAGCUAUUGAGGAAUAAUAUAUACUAGUGUAGUGACCCGCGCGUUGCGGCGGAUAUAUAAUAUUCGAUAUUUAACUUUAGUUUUUGUACUAAAAUUUUUUCUUUAUUUUCUUUAAAUUAUAAUAUUCUACUAUUUUCGUUAAUUACUAUCCUACUUCAAACAUAAAGAACAAACAAAGAGAAAGAAAAAUAAAAUUAUAAGAGAAAAAAUUUGAUGUAUAAUAAUUUGAAAAAAUAUUUGAGAUCUUGUAAAAGAAGUUAAAGAAAGACAAAAUAGUAAAUACAUAAGAAAAAUUUAAAAAUUUUAAAUAACAAAUAAAUAAAAGUAGAAAUAGCUGAAACAACAGUAGUAGGAGCAGCUAUAGAUACAAUGAAAUUUAGAAUUGUAGAAGUUGAAAAAAACCUAUAAAAAUUGGCUAAAAAAUAAAUCAAUAGUAAGUAAAGAAUGAAGGAAAGAAUGAAAUAAGACUAAUAGGAAAAGUUUUAAAAAAUGUUACUAACCGACUAUCCUAAAAAUAUAUGACUGCAAUAGUACAAAAAUUAAUAGUAGCAAAACAAAAACACAAUAUCCUUUUGCAACCCAGAUAUGCGGUAGAAGAAAUAGUAGCAAAAAUAGAUUAAGUGAAGCAGCAAUUUGCAAAAUUGAUUAGAAUAUAUAAGUGGCAGAACUUACAGUCAAAAGAAAUAAUUUUAAAUAGAAAUAAUAAAAUAACGCUAUCACAACAAUUGAAAAAAUAAAAUAUUCAACAAACAAAUAAAAAAAUAAUGAAAAUUAGUUAGUGCACACAUUGGUUGCAAUUAUUUCGCAAUUGCCAUCAUAUAUAUAUAUAUUUUAAAAUUGUAUUUUAAACAAACUAAAUACAUAUACAAAUUUUUUUACAAAAAACUCAUAUAUAAAAGCAUUAUGAUUAGCACAAAAAAAAUUCUUUAAAUAAUUAUUGUAAAAAUAUUUUUAAAUUAGCAACCAAAUUAGAUUAUAUUAUAUAUAAUAGCAUUACGAUCGGAAAAAAAGUAAAUUUCUAAAUUAUUCACAGCAACAAAUUGGAAGGUAAAAAAAAUAGUAUAUAUAUAAAAAUUAAAUUAGAGAACUUACAAAAUUUGAGACAAUCAAUCAUGGAUCAACUGUACACAGAUAGUCAAUUUUCUGAGACAAAAUAAAAUUAUUUAGUUUUUUUUAAAAAGAUAAUAAGUAGCCAAAUUAAAAUUCAAAUUCAAACAAAAAUGAAAGGUGGAAACCAAAUCAAAGAAGAAAAUAACACCAGCAGANNNNNNNNNNNNNNNNNNNNNNNNNCUAGUGAGAUUGAGUCAGUUGUGACUUUUACUACAGUUGGUUAGUGUAGAUCAUGCUAGUGUAGCGAUAUGUAGCGGUAGAUUUCUUUCCAGCUUUUCCUGCUAGCCUUGUUACCUUCUGUAGACUUAGUGGGUGGACCAAUGAUUGUUGAGGGCGGCAUCCACUGAGGACUACGUGUUUUUACUGUAGUUCUCACGCCCAGUUGUUACCCCAUUUUUGCAGAGCCUUCGUCUUCGGCUGCUGCUGUUGUUGGUCAGUAGCUAGGCAAGGGCGUCACGAGUUAGAGCUCUACCCGAGGAGCAGAGCUAGAUGCACCCCUACUGCAGGUAGAUGUUUUGGUUUCGGUUCAUGUACAUACAGACUUUUAACUCGCCAGCGCGAGUAGCUUUGUACUCUGGGAUUCAGUGUAUGUAUAUGGAACUCGGUUUCUUUUACUUUACUAGUUCUUCUAGCAGCUCUAUACUACUGUUUGUAGUAUUGUAUGUUUUACAGGUACAGCUGUCGCUUCGUAUACCGGGGAAAUUUCUUUGUAUACGGCGGAUUUGUCGGCGUGCCCGGGGAACGUGUAAUCCGGGGCGUGACAACAUGACCCUUCAGAUUCAACAAAAACAAAUAUCCGAGGAAUCGAAGAGAGUGUAGAAAAUGAAUCCGAACCAUUUUUGCAAUUGAAGGGGAUUAAUCGGCAGUAACGAAACGUUGCUAACAAAAAAAGGCGCGACGGAAAAAAGGACCGACAAUGAACUUGGUCCAAUUUUCUAUCUAGGAAGGACACAUAAGAAGUUGGAGAGGCAUCUAGGGAGGCGAGCGGCAUCUAGGGAGGUAAUUUAGUAAAUGAAUUUGGUCCAAUUUUCUGUUUAGAGAGGAUGCAUCAGAAGUUGGAGAGGCAUCUAGGAAGGCGAGCGGUAUUUAGAGAGGUAAUUUAGUAUGACAGGUAGGUCCCACAAAAGCUUAAAAUUAAGCUAAUAUCGCCAUGUGGACAAAACACAUGGAUUUUCAUAAAAAUUUAUAGAUUAUAUAUAUAUAGUAUAUACAUAAAUAUAUAUACAUAAAUAAAUAAUGAUAAUCACUGCCAGAAUAAAAUUUGGUCCGCUAAAUAAAGACUGGGACCCAGUCACAAUAGAUAAUACAAACUAUAAAACCACCCAAUCAAUGCCAAAGCCUACUACCCGGCAUACCCGGGGAAAAAAAAACAAAAUGGAAGCAUAGGGAAGGGAAGGAGGCUAGAAAAGUAAAGUAAGUAAGCAAAGAGCGCUUAGUAAAAAAAUAAGAAAUCAUGUUUAACCAGGGAAGAACUAAAAAAAAGGGGAAAGAGACAGUGAGAGGAAAACCAAAUAGUUCAACCGAAGGCACAGAGUAAGCAAAAGAGGGAAAGGCAGCAAUGGUUGAAGACCGAACAGUUGUUUAAAACACGAACAUUUUUGUACUACAGGCAGAAUAAUAAAUUACAGAACAUCAAACAUGUGCCGUUGGAGGAUAACAGUAUGAACCGCGCUGCCCUACCUGUGAAGUAAGCACAGACAGGACUAAGAGAAUAGCACAACGGUGCAAAAGCAAGGUAAAAGCAGUAAGAGAGCAAGAUGGACGAGAACGGUAAAUAGCUAGUAGCCAACCACACCGUAAGAGAUAGCUUCAGCAUCGCCUCAAAGCAAUAAAAAGAAAGGGGAAAUGCAGCGAGAAAAGCGCCAAGAGCGCAAGCAGGAAGGGAAGUAAAGCAAAAUUAUAAGAAACAUCAAAAACACAGGCAACCGAAGUAAAUCGCAAAACAUAAUAAAAUUAGUAGCAAGAAAAAACAUAUAACCAGAGUAAAAAGUGCACUCCACGGCGACCCUCACGUACCGCGGACGAAGAACCCCCGCAAGCAAAGCAUUUCCCGCCUCAUUCUGGGCUAGCAGCUUUGGUCCACACUUCAGCCUCACGCCAUGGAGACGAGACAGCAGAGGAAGCAAGCAAAAAUGAGAGGAACAAACCCAACAUAGAGACAUGAACCAAACAUCGCAUACGAUACCCAUCCCCCGCAACGAUCGUCGCAACUCUCGUCAAGAAAGUUGCCCCCCCCGCGCGUCCUGGAUUACCGAAAAUUCAUGAUUCGCGGCACCUCGUUUGUUUUUGACCCUCUUCCUUCCUUUUUUACCCUCAGGAAACAGCAGGCGAUUUAGUCCAAAAGCAAGCUCGGAUUGUUUUUUUUCCUAGUUUUUCACUCUUGUCAUCAUUGCCCCACAAAGAAACAAAGAAACCAAAUGGAAACCAAAGGAACAAAACGCAGAACAAAAAACCGAGCAAAAUAUUUCCGAAACACGCGGAUCAAAUCCCUAAGAACAAAAUAUAGAACCGUUAGUAUUUUCGUAUGAGCAGGCCUUCCAAUGUAUGAUAUACAGUUGCCUUUCAGUAGAACACCUAAGGUGCUUGCCCAAAGGCAAGCUCCUUUCUUUAUUUUUAGCACACAGCACGCAGGACACAGGCUAAACCCCACUCGCUUUAUACUGAAUCUCCCUCAAAGAGGGGUCAUGUCCAGUGCCAAAAGGAUAAGAAAGGGACAAAGUUUCAACAGAGCACGAAACUUCGAGAAGUAAAACACAGUAAGUUUCAAAAGUGAAGCCACGAAUCAAGGCCAAAGAUCACCCUGGCAACCAUAAAGUACCUAACUGUAGACAGAGGCUUCCCCACCCUAAUAAGAGCAACUCACCUUACGUUGGAGAGAGAAAGAGUGCAGUCCUUUAUCUCACAGCGGGCUAAAAGUACAGGGUAUUUAUAGACAGGAAAAAACAAUCAUGAUAAGAUCUGCUGUGUUAUCAAGCAAUAUCCAAGAAUAUCUUCUAUUUCUUUGAAGUAGCCUCACAAUAUCUCUCCAUAUUAUAAAAAAAAAGGGAAAAAACAGAGCUGCUGCAGCAAGAGAGAGAUUUUAUCAAUAUAUUUAUGUAAAAAUGGCAAAAAAAUAGCCUAGGGCAAGAGAGAGGACACAACAGUACAUACAGAGCGAGAGAGGAUAUCACCUGUAGAGUUCAUAGGUAUAGGGGCAGGGGUCACAUGUAGCCUCUUCUGGGCAGAGAGGAUCACCACCGAUCUCUCCAAGAUCGAAGAGAGGACCCCUAGCAGAUCGCAUAGAGAGAGAGGGAUAGUGACAGGAAGAGCGAGAACACAUCACCUCUAGAGCCCAAAGGUAUAGGAGUAGGGGCCACCUGUAGAUUCCUGCUCAGAUCGAAGAGAGAGGCCCUGAGCAGAGCGUAGAGAGAGAGCGACAGGGACACGACGCGCGCGAGAGAGAGGAAGAGAGAGAGAGAGAGAGGUAGAGAGACGUGAGAGAGAGUGGGUAGAGAGAUGGAGAAGCUCGGUUAUCGGUUCGAAGACCAAGAGAGAGAACCGAGUUAGAGAGAGAUGAGUACGCUUCAGGAGAGAGAGAAGGGCGACGCGUUCGGGCCCAGAGGUAGGGGGGAGGAAAGAGAGAGAGAGAGAGGAAGGGACGGUUCAGUCAGCGAAGGGCGGGGGGGAGAGAGAGCGGGCGGUUCAGGGUUUAGGGGGGAGAGAGAGCGGUAGAGAAAGUGGAUAGAGAGAGAUAGAAAGUGAGAGGGAGGGGGGGAGAGAGAGAGAGAGCAAAGGGAGGCGAGGGCGGUUAAGGGUUUGGGGGGAGAGAGAGCGGGCACAACCUCGCAACGCCACGUGGAAUAAGGCACCCUCUGAACGCCACCUAUACUGACUGUUCUGUCAAUUAGAUAUUGUUAAGAUGAGAGGAGAUGGUUAGAUGAUCAUAGGCUACUCAUUUAAGUAGUGUGGUGCGAAUAGAUUAGGGGUGUCAAAGACUCGGAUUUGGGUCGAAUUUUUAAAAAACACGAACCUGACUAUAAACCCGAAUCUGACGAAUUUUAAAAAUCCAUAUACAAAACCGAACCCGACCAAAAAUUUGAACCUGACACCAAAACCGAACCCGAAAAUCCGAAUCCGAAAUAAUUAUUAUUUUUUUCAAUAUUUCAAAAUAUAGUAUAUUAAAUUAAAAAUUUUAAAAUACAAAUUAAGUGUAACAUUAAAUUUUUCUAUACUUAUUAUAUGUAAUAUAAAAUAAAUUCGAGUUCGGGUCGCAUAUAGUCAAAAUUCAUACUUGAAUUCUAUCCGUCGGGUUUUUAUUUUUGAUAUUCAUACCCUAAAUCAUAUUCGUUUAGCAUCGAAUAAAUUUGCUCUGUUUGGAUUCGGGUUCAGAUAAUUUGGGUAUCCGUACUCAUUAACAUCCCUAGAUUGAACAUGACAGGCUCGCGAAGAGGAGUCGUGAUAAUGCGAUGUCAAAGCUUGGAGCACUGAAAAAGAAUUGGGCCCGGGGUCUGAGUCUUGGAUGAACUUCCCAGUGAUGCAGGUUAAAGCAUAUGGUCUCAAAUGAGUGGGCUCGCGGUGGCUCAUAAAAGAACUUGAAGAGCAUGCCUUGGAGAAGAGCCGAAAAGCUACUCGAUGCGAUGCUUAGAGAGAAAGGAUUGAGUUCAAGGGGGAGUUGAUCCUUUCACAUGUGAAAGGGCGAGCUCGUUAAGAGUUUAUAUGUGAAUAGUUCCGCAUCAGAUAAUUAAUAAGAGGGUAAAUGAUUGAUAUAUGCUAGUUGACCCAUACCUAAUAGGCUUAAGUUUUUAGGUUGCAUGAGUUUUAAUAGAUAUGUCACAUUCUUAGGCUUAGGUGAGCCUGGGCGGGGCUCAUAACUUGUUGAACGGACUUGUAUGGUUGCACCACCUUAGAUGCAGUUUGGCAUAGUUCUCCUAUUUAUUCAUCAGUAUUUGGUUAAAAAUUUUGAUUUUGCUCCCACCCUUUGUCAUUUGCUCUAAUAGACUCAAUUAGAGUAUUUUAAAACUGUCGAUUUUGCUACCAUUUUUAGUUCCUUCAAGUGUGUAUGAAAGGAAAAAUAGUUUUAUCAUCACUGAAAAUUGCAUGGAUUUGUAGCACGGUUAAAAGUUUUGAUUUGGCUAACAAACUUUUUAAAUCCUUUCACUCUUUCGUAACAGGAUUUAAGUAUGUUGUUUGCUCUAAUAGACAUAAUUAGAGUAUUUAUAUGAUUCCAAUAACUAAAAUUUCUAUUAAAACAAACUAUACUUAGCCAUCAGAACGCUAAGGAUAUAUAUCCGGGGGGCAUUGUUGGCGCCACAAAAAUGGCGCUAUGUGGAAGAACAGAUUAAGCCGUGUGGACGGAACGAAAGAAGGAACACGUCUGGAACAGAAAAAUAGUUGUAGGUGUGGCCGAAGACGUGGAGAGGAACUGCCAAAGCACAAUCCGAGGAAACGGGGACGUAGCCGAAAUACAUACCCACGAUAAGAAUUAACUAAAUAACAACUACACUUUUAAUUCUUUUUAUUUUCUGCACUUAUCGUUUUUCUUGGAGUAGUUUGUUAACGUAGAUUUUUUUUUGUUAGUUAUAGUAAACUUUGUUGUUUUUUCUGUAGUCAAGAGUUUGGUAAGAUAGCAGUAGGACAUAUCUCCUUGUACAUCUCUUUUCUUUUUGAAAUACAUUGAAAUCACACGGGUCAUUUCAACCGAGCUAGUAAUACAUACUCGAGUGUUUAGACUCGAUUGAACGUAUCCCUCUUCAGCCGGUCGUUUGAUUCUGUCUUAGGCGCAUCCGAGGGUCAUUUUCAGGUGUCGACCACUCUCCCGACCCGCUUCUUGAAAGAGAGUUUUGACAGUUUAUCCGGUCUCGAACUUCGGCUCGCAGCACCAGUAUUUGGCAAAUAGUCUUGCCUGCAUGCGGUCCAUUGAUGCGAACAAGUGCUUGGCUGGCCAAUCGACCUUGAAUUAAGGUCUUGGGAAAAGUGAUAAACAGGAGAGCUCAAAUCCAAGAGGGUGAUAUUGGCAUCUCAGACUCUAGAACCAAGCACUCCUUUGGCAAAAAAACUAAAGCUAAAAGUUCCCCGUACGUGUGGGAUCAUUCUGAGCGAUGAGGGCGUGAAGAGCUCCAUCUAUUUCUGGGCUCUAGAGCAUAAGCUCUGUUGUCAUCUCUUUAUGUCUAUUUUUUUUCUGUGUUUAUCUUUUUGUUACGUUUCACUUCGAAAGUUAGAAUGUAAAAGGCAGUGUUUGAUUAGGGGAUAGGGAUAGAGAUAGGCCAAACGUUAAUUUUUUAUCCGAGAAUAGUAGUUCUCGGUUAUCCCCACCAACACCUCCAUUUUAUAUAUAAAACUAUCUAAUAUUUUUCUUAUCCUCGGAAACAACCUAAUUUUCAUCCAAACGCUAUUUUUCUUAUCCCCAAACUUAUACCUAUUCCUGUAAUAGCUAGUUCUUGCUUAUACCCGAACCAAACGGUACCUAAAAAUCUUAACGGCCCAGUUACAAGAUGUCUUGUCAAGUCAGUUGUGUCCAUCUCCUAUUCUAUUGUAUUUUGUACCUAAAAAUCUUAACGGCCCAGUUACAAGAUGUCUUGUCAAGUCAGUUGUGUCCAUCUCCUAUUCUAUUGUAUUUUGUCUUCAACAAUCUGAAGUCGAGUCUAUUUUUUGUUCCUUCCUCCGCUCUUUUGUGGGUUCCAAUUUUGACAGACACUAGUAGGUCCUUCUGGCCACGGGUACCUCUGAGGGGCCAUUACUUGUUGGAGUUCGGCUUUCUUCUCUUCUAGUGAGGUGAUUGUAAAAAUUUUUUCACUUAUGCUCUCUCUAACACACUUAUCAAGCAGAAACACCUUCUAUUUGACGAAUGUAUAUAUAGCUGCCCUUUUUGGGAAGGUAAAGAAGAUCUUUUUAGCGAACUCGCCCCCCUUAAGAAAAUCUAUAACAGAAAAUUGGCGGCCUACAGUGAUUUCAAUACUUUAGCCGUUCUCCAAAUAAAAGAAAAGAUAAAAUUUGGACAAUUUUUGUAACAAAAAAGAAUGAAAAUCAUAUUAAAUUAAAAUAUGAAUUAUUAAUAUAAAAUUACAUUCACAGCUCAAAACAUUAAUUAAAUUUAUUCUUUAAAUUCAAACCGAAACUUAAAAUUAAAAAUUAACAUCAAUACUUUUAAAAUGAUAGGCGAAAAAUUUAAAAUGCAAAAUUUUAAAAAUUAAAAUUUAAAAUUGGUUGGCAAUUCAAUAUAUAAAACUAAUUUACAAUUUGAAUUUAAAUAUAAACUUUAAAAUUACAAUUUAACAUGAAUAAUCCAUAAAUUUCAUUUACAAUUUAAAUAAAAGUUUAAAUUUAAAAUUUGGAAAAAAUAAGUUUAAAUUAAAUUCGUACCUCAAAUUCUAAAUACUUGAUCAAACUUAAAUUUCAUUUCAAGUUUAGAUCGAAAUCUAAAAUUAAAAAAUAAAUAUCUAAAUUUAAACAUAUUUUCUUUAAAAUUUGAAGUUAAAAAUUAAAUUUAAUUGAAAAAAUAUAAAAUUUAAUGAGAAUAUUUUUUAAACAAAUAUUUUUUCCGUCGAAACUUAAUUUUCAAUUUAUUCUCUUAAGCUGGAUUUAAAAUACAGAUAAUUGAAGUAUUCACACUCCACCAUAAAAAAAAUCAGAACCAAAAACACUCUCAUAAACCAAACACGCCUGAACGUAAUUGUCGAAAUCGUUCAUUCCGAUUCCCAUUGUUGGGUGAAAAGAUUGUGAAUCAAAUAGACGCUUCCGUGAUGUUUGGUUGGAGAAUAAGUGGGAGGAUAAGCUCUUAUUCCCUAACUUGUAAUAAAACACUAUUUAGGAAGUCCGAAACAGUAAUUUUCAGUUUUGAAGAAUAAGUUGUAUAAACUGGUAUAAAUCUGGAAUUGUUAUUCCUGUUUCUUGGGCAGUAUUUGGUUCGGGAACAAGGGGAUAGGGGUCGAACUUCCGUUUCACUUUUUGCCUGAAACAAAUUUGUUCCCAAGUGGGAACAAGAUUAAUUAAAAUCUAAUUUAAUUUUAAUUAUGGUAUUAAAUUAUUAAUUAAUUUAAUUAAUAUAUUUAAAUCAUUAUCCAUUGCUUGAAUAAUAAAAUAAUUAAUUAAUUUAUUACUUAUAAUUAAUUAGCUAAUUAAUUAUUAAUAAUUUAAUAUGUUUACCUAUAANUUUAUAUUUAAUUAAUUUAUUAAUAUACUUUCAUUAUCUUAUACAAUAUUCAUAGCUAAUAAAUUUUUUAAUUUAUUAAAUUAAUUUUAAGUAAUAUUUUUAUGUUAAUUAAUUAGAUAAAAUAAUUUUAAUUUAAAAUUAUAACUCUUAUUACUCUUAUUCCAAUCUAAUUAUCCAAAUACUAUUUACCUUAUUCCUAUUAACAAUUUAAUUUUUAUCCAAAUGCAAAAUUAGUAUAAUUUCUACUUAUAUCUGAAAUUAUACCUAUUCCUGAAAUAAGCAAUUCUGACUUAUACCAAACCAAACACAGCCUAAAGGAAUAAAGAACAAGCUUGUUCCAACUUGAGAACAUGCUUAAUUAAAGUAAAUAUAAUUUUAAUUAUUAUGUUAAUAUUUUAAUGAAUGUAAUAUUUGACCAAUCCAAUUAUUUUAUUAACUAAUUAAUCUAACUAUUAAUUAAUUUAUUAAAUUAAUUUAUUAAACUACUUAUGGUUAAUUAAAUUAUUAAUUAACAACAUAAUUGUUGAUUAUUUUACUAAUUAAUAUUUAGGUUUAUUUUGCAGUAUUUAUAACUAAUUAGUUAAUUAAAUAAGAUAAAUUAUCAUUUAAUUUUUAUAUUAAUUAAUUAGAUAAUUUCUUAACUAAUUAUUUAACUAAAAUAAUUUACUAACUAAUUAAAUAAGAUAACUUAUUGUUUAUAACUAAUUAAUUGUAAUUAAUUAAUUAAAUUAUUUUUAAUUAAAAUUUUAUAUUAAUUAAUUAGAUAAAAUAUUAUUAUUUUAAAAAUUAUAAUUAUUUUUAUUCUCAAUAUUCCACUCUAACUAUCUAAACUAUAUUUUCCUUAUUUUCAAAAACAAUCUAAUUUUUACUUAUUUUUAAAAUAAGUAAUUUUUAUUUAUUUACAUGUGAACUAAAUAAAGCCUUUAUUAUGUCCGGUAGAAAGUAUAGCAUUUCCCUUCAAAUUGAAAGAAAGUACCCUCUAAGUAAUGAGGGAGGGUACUCUUUGUCUGCCUCGAGGAAUUCUACACUAUCACACUUACACCACGUCAUCGAUAAUAAGCUAAUCACAUUUCUUCUUUUCAAACAAAAAUAUAAUAAAAAUAUUUUUUUACAAUUAUAAUGAGACAUAUAUCUUGAAAAAAAAAUAUUUAAUUGAUCAGUUACGCUACGUCACCAAUAUAUCCGUUGCAUUCUAGAAUUUUUCGUUUGCCUCACCCAAAACGCAGCUCCCUUUGGGGAAGUCGUCGCUAGGGGUGGAAACGAGCCGAGCUCGAGCGAGCUUUGUAAGGACUGAGAUUUUUGACAGUGCAACUAAACUCUCUGUUGAUGACGUUUAUGUGUGUAAUUUAAUUACAUAAGCACUCGUCAAGUUUCGGACGAAAAUGAGCUAAAAUGGAGAAGAUACACGAUUUUUAGUUUUCACUUAAGUGAAUAGUAACUCCGGUUUUCCGGAGAAGCCACGGAGUAGAGUUGGCUUCCGGUGCAUAUCGGACUCCGUUCAUAGCGAUCCAAUAGCUCGUUUUGAACGGUUCAGCUAUUCUGGAACCAAUGGCACUGACGGAUUUCAGAUCCGAUGCACGGUUUUCGAGAAAAAGGAGUUUUAAGAAAAGAGGAUUUUCGCUCUUUGCUAUUCGUGCAUUUUAAAACUCCUCGUGCUUUGUACAAGUGAUCUGGAGAUGGGUGAGAGGUGUUUCAAGUACCUACUGGUGGUAGGGAAAUCAAAUACGGGUUUGAAUUAAAGGAUUUCAGGUUUCCACCAAGGCCUAUGCAUGAUAUCUGGAUUAGUUGGAGAGAGGUUGGAUUUUGUCGCAAAUCGGCAAGUAAAUCGGAUGAAACGAAAUCGUAGUUUCGAUGUCCUCAUCGUGCUGAACGCAAUGGUGCUAUCGGAUCGAAAAUCCGACGGACGGAUCUCUGGUAAUUGCGAAGUUUUCGUUAAGAGGUCGAAGGUGACAAUUCGGAAAAUUCGCGAAAGGCGCGACAUUUUAUGUAUCGAAUCGCGUGAGAUCGGACGUGGAGGUAUGUACGCGCAUAUUGUACGCCCUGGCAGGGGCUGAGGUUUAAAUAUUCUAGGUUAGAGGGGUUUUCUGCAAAUUGUCNNNNNNNNNNNNNNNNNNNNNNNNNNNNNNNNNNNNNNNNNNNNNNNNNNNNNNNNNNNNNNNNNNNNNNNNNNNNNNNNNNNNNNNNNNNNNNNNNNNNUCUGUUAUAUAUAAUUUAGGCCCCAUUCCAAGAACCUCUCAUAGCAAGUUAUAUAUAUAUAUAUAUAUAUAUAUAUAUAUAUAUAUAUAUAUAUAUAUAUAUGGAUACACUGUCCAUAAAAUUUGUCCCUUAGACUGGACCCUACAAUAGAUAAUACAAGCUAUAAACCACCAACAAUGCCAAGCCCUCUACGGCCAUACCCGGGGGAAAAAAAAAACAAAAAAUGGAAGCAUGAGGGAAGGGAAGGAGGGCUAAAAAGUAAGAGUAAGUAAGCAAAGAGGCUGUAGUAAAAAAAUUAAGAAACAUGUUAGACAGGGAAGAACUAAAAAAAAAGGGGAAAGAACAGUGAAUAAAAAGCAAAUAGUUCAACCGAGGCACAUUUCAGUAAGCAAAAGAGGGGACAUUUUUUACAGGCAGAACUAUAUAAAUUGACAGAACACUCAACACAUGUGCCGUUUGGAGAGUACCAUGAACCGCCUGCCCCUACCUUUGAAGUAAGCACAACAGGACUAUAGAGAAUAGCACAACUGUUAAAAAGCAAGGUAAGCAGUAAGAGAGCAAGAUAGGCAGAGAGGGUAAUAUAGCUAGUAGCUGCAAGCACACCGUAAGAGAUAGCUGUCAUCAUCGCCUCAAAAGAAAUUAAAAAGAAAGGGGAAAAGAUGAGAAAACCGCAGAGCAAGCACGGAAGGGAAGUUAAAGCAAAAUUAUAGAAACAUCAAAAACACAGGGCAAACCAAGUAAUCGCAAAACAUAAUAAAAUUAGGUAGCAAGAAAAAAACAUAUAACCAGAUGUAUAAAAGGUGUGGACUCAGGUUCAGUGUGGGGAAUGAAACCGAGCAAAAGCAUUUCCCGCAUCAUUUGGGCUAGCAAGCUUUGGUCGAACUUCAGCUUCAUGCUGGGAGAGAAGAGAGGAUCAGAAAACCUGAGAGGAAAAACCCAACAUAGUAGAAUCAGUGAACAAACAUGAAUAGAUGGCUUCCCUCAAACAUGCCGUCCAAUCUUCGUAAGAUUGUUGCCCUCGUAUGGAUCACUGAAUUCAUGAUUCGCGGCACCUCGUUUGUUUUUGACCCUCUUCGUUCCUUUUUUACCCUCAGGAAACAGCAGGCGAUUUAGUCCAAAAGCAAGCUCGGAUUGUUUUUUUUCCUAGUUUUUCACUCUUGUCAUCAUUGCCCCACAAAGAAACAAAGAAACCAAAUGGAAACCAAAGGAACAAAACGCAGAACAAAAAACCGAGCAAAAUAUUUCCGAAACACGCGAAUCAAAUCCCUAAGAACAAAAUAUAGAACCGUUAGUAUUUUCGUAUGAGCAGGCCUUCCAAUGUAUGAUAGACAGUUGCCUUUCAGUAGAACACCCAAGGUGCUUGCCCAAAGGCAAGCUCCUUUCUUUAUUUUUAGCACACAGCACCCAGGACACAGGCGGCCCCACUCGCUUUAUACUGAAUCUCCCUCAAAGAGGGGUCAUGUCCAGUGCCAAAAGGAUAAGAAAGGGACAAAGUUUCAACAGAGCACGAAACUUCGAGAAGUAAAACACAGUAAGUUUCAAAAGUGAAGCCACGAAUCAAGGCCAAAGAUCACCCUGGCAACCAUAAAGUACCUAACUGUAGACAGAGGCUUCCCCACCCUAAUAAGAGCAACUCACCUUACGUUGGAGAGAGAAAGAGUGCAGUCCUUUAUCUCACAGCGGGCUAAAAGUACAGGGUAUUUAUAGACAGGAAAAAACAAUCAUGAUAAGAUCUGCUGUGUUAUCAAGCAAUAUCCAAGAAUAUCUUCUAUUUCUUUGAAGUAGCCCCACAAUAUCUCUCCAUAUUAUAAAAAAAGGGAAAAAAACAGAGCUGCUGCAGCAAGAGAGAGAUUUUAUCAAUAUAUUUAUGUAAAAAUGGCAAAAAAAUAGCCUAGGGCAAGAGAGAGGACACAACAGUACAUACAGAGCGAGAGAGGAUAUCACCUGUAGAGUUCAUAGGUAUAGGGGCAGGGGUCACAUGUAGCCUCUUCUGGGCAGAGAGGAUCACCACCGAUCUCUCCAAGAUCGAAGAGAGGACCCCUAGCAGAUCGCAUAGAGAGAGAGGGAUAGUGACAGGAAGAGCGAGAACACAUCACCUCUAGAGCCCAAAGGUAUAGGAGUAGGGGCCACCUGUAGAUUCCUGCUCAGAUCGAAGAGAGAGGCCCUGAGCAGAGCGUAGAGAGAGAGAGCGACAGGGACACGACGCGCGCGCGAGAGAGGAGGAGAGAGAGAGAGAGAGAGGUAGAGAGACGGUGAGAGAGAGUGGGUAGAGAGAUGGAGAAGCUCGGUUACCGGUUCGAAGACCAAGAGAGAGAACCGAGUUAGAGAGAGAUGGGUACGCUUCAGGAGAGAGAGAAAGGCGACGCGUUCGGGCCCAGAGGUAGGGAGGAGGAAAGAGAGAGAGAGAGGAAGGGACGGUUCAGUCAGCGAAGGGCGGGGGGGAGAAAGAGCGGGCGGUUCAGGGUUUAGGGGGGAGAGAGAGCGGUAGAGAAAGUGGAUAGAGAGAGAGAGAAAGUGAGAGGGUGGGGGGGGAGAGAGAGAGAGCAAAGGGAGGCGAGGGCGGUUAAGGGUUUGGGGGGAGAGAGAGCGGGCACAACCUCGUAACGCCACGUGGAAUAAGGCACCCUCUGAACGCCACCUAUACUGACUGUUCUGUCAAUUAGAUAUUGUUAAGAUGAGAGGAGAUAGUUAGAUGAUCAUAGGCUACUCAUUUAAGUAGUGUGGUGCGAAUAGGUUAGGGUUGUCAACGACUUGGAUUCGGGUCAAAUUUUUAAAAAACACGAACCUGACUAUAAACCCGAAUCUGAUGAAUUUUAAAAAUCCAUAUACAAAUCCGAACCCGACCAAAAAUUUGAACCUGACACCAAAACCGAACCCGAAAAUCCGAAUCCGAAAUAAUUAUUAUUUUUUUUCAAUAUUUCAAAAUAUAGUAUAUUAAAUUAAAAAUUUUAAAAUACAAAUUAAGUGUAACAUUAAAUUUUUCUAUACUUAUUAUAUGUAAUAUAAAAUAAAUUCGAGUUCGGGUCGCAUAUAGUCAAAAUUCAUACUUGAAUUCUAUCCGUCGGGUUUUUAUUUUUGAUAUUCAUACCCUAAAUCAUAUUCGUUUAGCAUCGAAUAAAUUUGCUCUGUUUGGAUUCGGGUUCGGAUAAUUUGGGUAUCCGUACUCAUUAACAUCCCUAGAUCAAACAUGACAGGCUCGCGAAGAGGAGUCGUGAUAAUGCGAUGUCAAAGCUUGGAGCACUGAAAAAGAAUUGGGCCCGGGGUCUGAGUCUUGGAUGAACUUCCCAGUGAUGCAGGUUAAAGCAUAUGGUCUCAAAUGAGUGGGCUCGCGGUGGCUCAUAAAAGAACUUGAAGAGCAUGCCUUGGAGAAGAGCCGAAAAGCUACUCGAUGCGAUGCUUAGAGAGAAAGGAUUGAGUUCAAGGGGGAGUUGAUCCUUUCACAUGUGAAAGGGCGAGCUCGUUAAGAGUUUAUAUGUGAAUAGUUCCGCAUCAGAUAAUUAAUAAGAGGGUAAAUGAUUGAUAUAUGCUAGUUGACCCAUACCUAAUAGGCUUAAGUUUUUAGGUUGCAUGAGUUUUAAUAGAUAUGUCACAUUCUUAGGCUUAGGUGAGCCUGGGCGGGGCUCAUAACUUGUUGAACGGACUUGUAUGGUUGCACCACCUUAGAUGCAGUUUGGCAUAGUUCUCCUAUUUAUUCAUCAGUAUUUGGUUAAAAAUUUUGAUUUUGCUCCCACCCUUUGUCAUUUGCUCUAAUAGACUUAAUUAGAGUAUUUUAAAACUGUCGAUUUUGCUACCAUUUUUAGUUCCUUCAAGUGUGUAUGAAAGGAAAAAUAGUUUUAUCAUCACUGAAAAUUGCAUGGAUUUGUAGCACGGUUAAAAGUUUUGAUUUGGCUAACAAACUUUUUAAAUCCUUUCACUCUUUCGUAACAGGAUUUAAGUAUGUUGUUUGCUCUAAUAGACUUAAUUAGAGUAUUUAUAUGAUUCCAAUAACUAAAAUUUCUAUUAAAACAAGCUAUACUUAGCCAUCAGAAUGCUAAGGAUAUAUAUCCGGGGGGCAUUGUUGGCGCCACAAAAAUGGCGCUAUGUGGAAGAACAGAUUAAGCCGUGUGGACGGAACGAAAGAAGGAACACGUCUGGAACAGAAAAAUAGUUGUAGGUGUGGCCGAAGACGUGGAGAGGAACGGCCAAAGCACAAUCCGAAGAAACGGGGACGUAGCCGAAAUACAGACCCACGAUAAGAAUUAACUAAAUAACAAAAGGCAAGAUUAUUAUAAAAAAACAGAACUUGCCUGCACAAAGAAUUUUUUCGCGCACAAGAGACCACUGCACUUUUAAUUCUUUUUAUUUUCUGCACUUAUCGUUUUUCUUGGAGUAGUUUGUUAUUGUAGAUUUUUUUUUGUUAGUUAUAGUAAACUUUGUUGUUUUUUCUGUAGUCAAGAGUUUGGUAAGAUAGCAGUAGGACAUAUCUCCUUGUACAUCUCUUUUUUUUUUUGAAAUACAUUGAAAUCACUCGGGUCAUUUCAACCGAGCUAGUAAUACAUACUCGAGUGUUUAGACUCGAUUGAACGUAUCCCUCUUCAGCCGGUCGUUUGAUUCUGUCUUAGGCGCAUCCAAGGGUCAUUUUCAGGAGUCGACCCCUCUCCCGACCCGCUUCUUGAAAGAGAGUUUUGACCGGAUAAACGGUCUCGAACUUCGGCUCGCCGCACCACCAGUAUUUGGCAAAUAGUCUUGCCUGCAUGCGGUCCAUUGAUGUGAACAAGUGCUUGGCUGGCCAAUCGACCUUGAAUUAAGGUCUUGGGAAAAGUGAUAAACAGGAGAGCUCAAAUCCAAGAGGGUGAUAUUGGCAUCUCAGACUCUAGAACCAAGCACUCCUUUGGCAAAAAACUAAAGCUAAAAGUUCCCCGUACGUGUGGGAUCAUUCUGAGCGAUAAGGACGUGAAGAGCUCCAUCUAUUUCUGGGCUCUAGCGCAUAAGCUCUGUUGUCAUCUCUUUCUGUCAAUUUUUUUCUGUGUUUUUCUUUUUGUUACGUUUCACUUCGAAAGUUAGAAUGUAAAAGGCAGUGUUUGGUUAGGAGAUAGGGAUAGGGAUAGGCCAAACACUAAUUUUUUAUCCGAGAAUAGUAGUUCUCGGUUAUCCCCACCAACACCUCUAUUUUCUAUAUAAACUAUUUUUCUUAUCCCCAUACUUAUAUCUAUCUCUAUAAUAGCUAGUUCUUACUUAUACCCGAACCAAACGGUACCUAAAAAUCUUAACGGCCCAGUUAAAAGAUGUCUUGUCAAGUCAGUUGUGUCCAUCUCCUAUUCUAUUGUAUUUUGUCUUCAACAAUCUGAAGUCGAGUCUAUUUUUUGUUCCUUCCUCCGCUCUUUUGUGGGUUCCAAUUUUGACAAACACUAGUAGGUCCUUCUGGCCACGGGUACCUCUGAGGGGCCAUUACUUGUUGGAUUUCUUCUCUUCUAGUGAGGUGAUUGUAAAAAAAUUUUCACUUAUGCUCUCUCUAACACACUUAUCAAGCGGAAACACCUACUAUUUGACGAAUGUAUAUAUAGCUGCCCUUUUUUGGGAAGGUAAAGAAGAUCUUUUUAGCGAACUCGCCCCCCUUAAGAAAAUCUAUAACAGAAAAUUGGCGGCCUAUAGUGAUUUCAAUACUUUAGCCGUUCUCCAAAUAAAAGAAAAGAUUAAAUUUGGACAAUUUUUGUAACAAAAAAGAAUGAAAAUCAUAUUAAAUUAAAAUAUGAAUUAUUAAUAUAAAAUUACAUUCACAGCUCAAAACAUUAAUUAAAUUUAUUCUUUAAAUUCAAACCGAAACUUAAAAAUAAAAAUUAACAUCAAAACUUUUAAAAUGAUAGGCGAAAAAUUUAAAAUGCAAAAUUUUAAAAAUUAAAAUUUAAAAUUGGUUGGCAAUUCAAUAUAUAAAACUAAUUUACAAUUUGAAUUUAAAUAUAAACUUUAAAAUUACAAUUUAAUGUGAAUAAUCCAUAAAUUUAAUUUACAAUUUAAAUAAAAGUUUAAAUUUAAAAUUUGGAAAAAAUAAGUUUAAAUUAAAUUCGUACCUCAAAUUCUAAAUACUUGAUCAAACUUAAAUUUCAUUUCAAGUUCAGAUCGAAAUCUAAAAUUAAAAAAUAAAUAUCUAAAUUUAAACGUAUUUUCUUUAAAAUUUGAAGUUAAAAAUUAAAUUUAAUUGAAAAAAUAUAAAAUUUAAUGAGAAUAUUUUUGAAACAAAUAUUUUUUCCGUCGAAACUUAAUUUUCAAUUUAGUCUCUUAGGCUGGAUUUAAAAUACAGAUAAUGAAAGUAUUCACACUCCACCACAAAAAAAAUCAGAACCAAAAACACUCUCAUAAACCAAACACGCUUGAACGUAAUUGUCGAAAUUGUUCAUUCCGAUUCCCAUUGUUGGGUGAAAAGAUUGUGAAUCAAAUAGACGCUUCCGUGAUGUUUGGUUGGAGAACAAGUGGGAGGAUAAGCUCUUAUUCCCUAACUUGUAAUAAAACACUAUUUAGUAAGUCCGAAACAGUAAUUUUCAGUUUUGAAGAAUAAGUUGUAUAAACUGGUAUAAAUCUGGAAUUGUUAUCCCUGUUUCUUGGACAGUAUUUGGUUCGGGAACAAGGGGAUAGGGGUCGAACUGCCGUUUCACUUUUUUCCUGAAACAAAUUUGUUCCCAAGUGGGAAACAAGGUUAAUUAAAAUCUAAAUUUAAUUUUAAUUAUGGUAUUAAAUUAUUAAUUAAUUUAAUUAAUAUAUUUAAAUCAUUAUCCAUUGCUUGAAUAAUAAAGUAAUUAAUUAAUUUAUUACUUAUAAUUAAUUAGCUAAUUAAUUAUUAAUAAUUUAAUAUGUUUAUCUAUAAACUAAUAUUUAUAUUGAUCAAUCAUUAAUAUUUUUAUUAAUCUAAUUAAUUUUUUUACUAGUUAUCUAACUAAAAUAAUUUACUAACUAACUAAAAAGUUAAAUUAUUUUUUAUAUUUAAUUAAUUUAUUAAUAUACUUUCAUUAUCUUAUACAAUAUUCAUAGCUAAUAAAUUUUUUAAUUUAUUAAAUUAAUUUUAAGUAAUAUUUUUAUGUUAAUUAGUUAGAUAAAAUAAUUUUAAUUUAAAAUUAUAACUCUUAUUCCUCUUAUUCCAAUCUAAUUAUCCAAAUUCUAUUUAUCUUAUUCCUAUUAACAAUUUAAUUUUUAUCCAAACGCAAAAUUGGUAUAAUUUCUACUUAUAUCUGAAAUUGUACCUAUCCUGAAAUAAGCAGUUCUGACUUAUACCGAACCAAACACAGCCUAAAGGAAUAAAGAACAAGCUUGUUCCAACUUGAGAACAUGCUUAAUUAAAGUAAAUAUAAUUUUAAUUAUUAUGUUAAUAUUUUAAUGAAUGUAAUAUUUGACCAAUCCAAUUAUUUUAUUAACUAAUUAAUCUAACUAUUAAUUAAUUUAUUAAAUUAAUUUAUUAAACUACUUAUGGUUAAUUAAAUUAUUAAUUAACAACAUAAUGGUUGAUUAUUUUACUAAUUAAUAUUUAGGUUUAUUUUGCAGUAUUUAUAACUAAUUAGUUAAUUAAAUAAGAUAAAUUAUCAUUUAAUUUUUAUAUUAAUUAAUUAGAUAAUUUCUUAACUAAUUAUUUAACUAAAAUAAUUUACUAACUAAUUAAAUAAGAUAACUUAUUGCUUAUAACUAAUUAAUUGAUAAUUAAUUAAUUAAAUUAUUUUUAAUUAACAUUUUAUAUUAAUUAAUUAGAUAAAAUAUUAUUAUUUUAAAAAUUAUAAUUAUUUUUAUUCUCAAUAUUCCACUCUAACUAUCUAAACUAUAUUUUUCUUAUUUUCAAAAACAAUCUAAUUUUUACUUAUUUUUAAAAUAAGUAAUUUUUAUUUAUUUACAUGUGAACUAAAUAAAGCCUUUAUUAUGUCCAGUAGAAAGUAUAGCAUUUCCCUUCAAAUUGGAAGAAAGUACCCUCGAAGUAAUGAGGGAGGGUACUCUUUGUCUGCCUCGAGGCUUACACCACGUCCUCAAUAAUAAGCUAAUCAUUUUUUUUUUCAAACAAAAAUAUAAUAAAAAUAUUUUUUUACAAUUAUGAUGAAACAUAUAUCUCUAAAAAAAAAUAAUUAAUUGAUCAGUUACGCCACGUCACUAAUAUAUCCUUCGCAUUCUAGAAUUUUUUGUCUGCCUCACCCAAAACGCAGCUCUCUUUGGGAAAGUCGUCAGUCGUAGGGAUGCAAAUGGAUCUGGGUUGGUGGAGCUCCGCCCCGAUCUGCCCCGAAUGGGGUGGUAAGUGGGAACAAAAAAUAUAAAAAAAUAUAACCCGCUCCGAAUCCGCCCCGAUCCGCCAAGUAAAUGGAGCGAGAGGUGGGAGACUCUUUUCUUCCUUCAAUCCGCCCCGAUCCGUCGAAAAUCCGGCUCCCGCCCCGAUCCGCCCCGAAUGGAGCGGUAAGUGGGAGUCAAAAAUAAAAUGAAAAGUAACCCGUCCCGAAUCCGCCCCGUCCCGUUAAAAAAUGGAGCGGGAGGUGAGAAAACUCUCCCGCCCCCGGAUCCGCCCCGUUUGCAUCCCUACUCACUCGUCACCAUCUUUGGAUUCCCCAUUCUUCCUUGGUUUUGGAUACAUACCAUAUCAUAUCCAGACCAUUGCAAGUCCCCCCCCACACCACCACCACCCACAAAAAUCCACAGAUUUCUCCCCUUUUCUCAUGGCAUCAUCAUCAUCUCCAAGGUAAUACACAAUUUACCCAUCUCUCCACCCUCCGUUUGCUUCCUCUUUCAUUAUAAUAAACCUGUUCGGGCCAUCUGCAUGUUGUAUUAUUGUUCGGAUAAAAUGCUGUCUGAAAUAGUACUAUUUGCAGAGAUAAAUAAUUAUUUAUUGCUAUAAUUUCAAAUUAGAAGCAUCAAGUUAGAAUUUCAAACUCUUGUUUUCCGCCGCAGCAGAAAUAUUAAUGUCUUUUGUUCUGUCGAAAGCUCUGUAAAGAAAGAUUGCUGCUGCUGAAAGCAGACGCUGUGAAUCCUUAUUUGUACCACAAAUUAAGACUAUGUAUGGGGCUUUUGUUGCCCAAAUGUUGUGGGCAUGGUGGUGCUCAUCUUGUGGCUGCAAUGUUGCUUGCGUAGCUCGGGGGGAGUCGAGACUGUGGAUGUGGGAGCGGCCAAAAGCCUCGUGGGUUCUGGCCAUCUCUACUUAGAUGUCAGGUUUGUUUUAAUCGUUUUACUCGAGAGGAUUUGGAUCUAAAUUCUUUCCCUAGGGUUUUGGAAAUAAUUCAAAGCAUACGAAAUCACGAAAAAAAUCAUAAUUCAUUUCUUUUCGAUGACUUUUACCUAUAUAGCAAGCAAUUUCAAAAUCAACAAUCGUAAUUGAUUGAUUUUUUAUCAUAAAAACAGAGAUUGAUACGCUGUACAAUUUCCACUCUGAGCAUGACCAACAAACAAGGGAAGAAUUUUUGGAGUAGUUUUCUUAACCAAUUCAAACAUAGAACAAAUGAAAGAUAUAGAAAAAGGUCUUCUAAUAGAGUAGCUCUGAAAAGGAAAAAAAUAAUAUAAAAAAAAACUUGUAAAGAUUACGCCCACGAAAGAAAAGGUAAAAAAGAAUGAACAAAAGUCAACAUCUGGUCAGCAACUCUUCUAACCCACAGCCAUGAAAGAGAGAAGCGGCGAGGGUUAGGAGGAUAGGGUGGCUUUCCUUGUACGGCGGUUCUAACGUGGAAUCAAAUGUUGAUACAAGGUGUUUGUUACUUUAAUGAUAAUAUCAGACUUUAAUUACUCAAAUACUUUUGGAUUACUAAACUAAGAAUAAGUAUCUUAGGUAGGAAUACUAUGCUAAUUAAUAAACUUAUCCAAUUUACAUCCAAAAGUUUUGAACUUUGGUUUCUAAUUACUUCAAACCAUUUCCUGUAUAUGAAACCUUUGAUUUGCAUGCUAUGUUGGCCCCUAAUUCUGUUAAGCGAACCCUAGUCGCACUCUUUUUUUUUUUUUCUAAUUUUUUCACUUGUUUACAAUUGUGUGUUUGAUUGAAAAUUUUUUUUGGGGGUCACUUUGUAUGGAAACUUGUGUAUAGGACAAUUGAGGAAUUCAACAAGGGCCAUCCAGAGAAUGCGCUUAACGUGCCUUACAUGUUCUUCACCCCACAAGGCAAGCAUUUAGUUCCUAUUUCUUUAGAUGAAGUCCGGAUUGCACACUAAAUUGAUACAUUUUAAGGCUCAAUUUCAAGUGCUUGUUACUCAAAAUAGUGUAGAGCAGUAUAUUGUGGAAUAAAUGAUGAAAAAGAUUUGUCUUUUAUUAUUAUUUUUUAUAAUACAAAUCUUUAAUUUGUAAGUGUCCUUUAUCCGAGCUUGACUCCAUUAGUAUUUUCUUAUCUAUUUCUUUAUUCUUCUAGUAAUUUCUUGCGAUAACUAUUUUGGAACACAGGGAGGGAGACAAACCCUCAGUUUCUGGAGCAGGUCUCCUCCAUUUGCAGCAAAGAUGACUUCAUAGUGGUGGUAUUUCUUUUACUUUCGAAUAUGUUUUGGUGGUCUCCUCCAUUUGCAGCAAAGAUGACUUCAUAUUUUAGUUCAUUGGAUUCAUCGAAAAUAGAUGACUAGGAGAUUCUUGUUCAUAAAAUCUGCAUCUUGAUCCACAUGAAUUAUUCAUAAUUACAUAGUCGUCCCUAAACAAUUACUUUUGUACAAUAUAAACGGAAUCAAAUGCGAAUUUCAAAUCUUCACGUCUUUCAAAAAUACAAUUACUUUUGCUCACAUAUUUCAGGCGCAACAUAGAUGCCCUUCGAAAGCUUAGUUUCUUUAAAAACAAAAAGAAAGAGUAAAAAAGUCUCUCAACAAAUUAGAUGUCCUAUUGAUUUAGAAUGAAGAUUUUCUGCUAAGAAAACACAAUCUAAGAUAUGUGAGAAGUUAAAGGUUUCGAUAAAGUACAUUUAUAUUCUAAUAGAAAAUAUAUGUGUAUAAAAAGUGGUUGACUAGGUGAGGUUAUGUAUUGUGACAAUGCAAAGAAUUUGAAAUAGCAACCUUUGGGUAAUUUUAGAAGCUAUAUAAGAUAAGGUUGUAGAUUUGCCUAUGUUUGAAUGAGAACGACUAGUUUGUGAUGUUGAUGCAACAAAUUCUUAAUUUCCUUGAAGGGUUGUCAAAGUGGAGUGAGAUCUCACCAUGCAUGUGUGGAUCUUCUAAAUGCUGUGAGUUGAUCAUUUUUUUCUCUUCCUUCUUCAAUGCUCUCUUCUUUUUUUAGUAAUAACUGGGAGAGAAAUCCCCUAGAGACUUUUUAUUAAAGGAAAAAAUAGAAGUUAACAGUAAAGAGCACCACCAAAAUGGAGUUUUUCACCAACGAACUCUUAAAACAGUAUAUUGCUAAGGUACCUAUAAUCACUAAAAUUCAUCACCAAGCAAACUACAAAAAUAGCUACAUCAUAUGCUUUUAGAAGAAUGAACAAGCAAAUCAACAAACAAAGAAAACUCAAAAACUAUCAAGAUGCAUCGAUAGCAUGAUCACAAUCCCUUGUAGUUGAGCCAGCGGCGUAAUUUCUUCUUGGUCCGAAAAUACAAGAAUUCCUUUUAUUUUUAAUCAUAUUAUCUGCCCACAUUGAAGCAAAGCAAGCCAGAACAAGACACCCCACCAAACACUCUAUCAUUGUGUUCUCACCAAAUACGCCAACAUAUAGCCAUGACUACAGUAACUCAUCCUUGUCUUCAAUUAGGCUUCACUCUUUCAUUUCUUCAAUGCUCUCUUCAUCGAAGAACUGAUUUUCUUCUUACAAUAUGAUCAAAGAACCUGAAAAGAAAAAGUGAAGGUAAAAUGUAUGGAUCAUCUUUAUACUAUGCAGAUACUCCGAUUCGGUCUCUGUACUUUUGAUUUAAAUCUCCUUGCAAUUCUGAUAUUCUGAAUUGGUCUCUGUACUUUUGAUUUAAACAUUUUAAUGCCUAAACUUCUAUUUAUACUGCACUUUACUUCCUACCGUCAAAAGAAUCCUGUUUUUCUUUGAAAUGAGCUUCACUGUAAAAUCACUUAUGUAAGUUUAAUUUAGAGGCAGGUUUGAAAAGGUCAAUUUACGGCAAAAGUUAAUGAAUGUUACUAUUAUUUGUUUUUGGUUUUCAUAUAGCAAUCAACAACUAAAUUGCAAUAUAUGUGAAAAUUCAAGGGCUAUUGUUGGGAGAGUACACCAUCCAUAUAUUUCACCCCUCAGAAAGAAGUAAAAUUAUUAAUAAUUUUGUUGUGAAAAAUAAUUAACAAUGAUGUUGUUGUUGUUGUUGUUGUUGUUGUUGUUUUUAUUUUUAUUUUUUAACAAUGAGGUGACGUACUCUUAAUACAGGGAUUCAAGAACGUAAAGAACAUGGGAGGGGGUUAUGGUGCGUGGGUUGAUAACGGAUUUGCCGUAAAGAAACCACAACAAGAACUCUAGUUCGGCCCCAGCACUAAUUACAUGAGGGUCUACUCAUAUAAUACUCAAAAUUUACUUGUUUGCUUUGUUGUUACUUGUUAUAUAUAUUAUUUAUUUGAUCUGGUUAGCACCAAUUUCGAAAUCUUAUUUUCACCAUCCUAUUUGUUAAAUAUAUUUCUCAUCUUGUUUCCUAUCAAAUCGAACCUGUAUGUAAAAUAGUAUCAGAGUCAAUCUUAAGAUCCUGCUAUUCUAUGGUGUUAAAUACAUUUUUGGUUCCGUUUCUUAUAGGUAAAAUUGUUAAAGGGUCUAUAGAGCAAAGAGCUCUUUGCUCAGAAAGCUGUUGGUAUAGAGUUGUUAUAAAGAGCUCAAAGAGCUGUUGGUAUAGAGUUGUUAUAAAUAGCAUCUAGUUUUGUUUUAUUUUGUGUGUGUGUGUGUGUGUGUGUGUGUGUUUUAGCGUUAAAUCACCCUCCCCUCAUGAUAAAAGGAAGAAAAUUGAGAUUUCUCUUCGUUGCAAGAACAUUAAGGAUUUUUUUAGUUCAUCUAUUUUAGACUUUAGAAUCAGGCAUGAGAUUUACUGGUUAAAAUAGUUAUUGUUGUCUUACAGAAAUUGAAUUAUAAUUUUUAUUCUAAUCUAGAAUGGGAAUGGUUUAAUCUAUUUAUGGUCCAAUCCAACUUUCAAUCCUGAAUAGUCCUAUUCUAGAUUAAAUUAUUCAAAAUUCUCUCACACAAAACAUUUUCCCCUCCACUCCUUUCAUCACUCUCCUCUCUUUUAACCAAAAUUCUCUCUUAAAAUUGUUGAUAUCCUAAUUGCUAAGUCUAAUUUUUAUUCCAAUAAUAAACAAAAUAUUUGUGGAUGAUUCACCAUUCUAAUUUUUAUUGCAAUGCAAUCCAAAUUCAUUUUCCAUUUACAUUUCAAUAAUGAACAAUCUUCCAUUUUUCAUUUCAAUAAUGAACCAAAGAUAGCUCUAAGUUAGGGCUCUAUUUUUUUUUUUGUUUUUGUUUUAUAAGCUUAAUUUAGCUUUCAAAUAUACCAAAAGUUUCAUACUUUUUCAAUAUGUUGAAAAUAUGGCUAUAGAAUGAGGUGACGGUGGAAAACUAGCAAGUCCUCGAGGCUACGAGGCGCAAGGCUACUAUGCCAUCCAAACAAUAGGUCCUAUCAGCACUCGAAAAAUUGAUAGAAGUGGAGAACGAGGAGGAUGUAUGUCAGAACUAACUCCCAAAGAGGGGGCAGCCAUAUGAGCCUAUGGACCCUUUUGAACCUGAGGGUUGAACUCAGCAAAAGGUGCAUUUGUCGUAUUCUAAAGUGCAUUUGUCGUAUUCUGCCUUUGGGGAAAAGUGGUUGGAGAUUAUCAUUAUAGAUGCUAAGGGGAGAAGAAGCCUAUUUGGCGAUAGGUAUUUGAACUGACAUAAGGAACAAGACAUGAGGAGCACGUAAAAAUACCCAAUAUUUGGGGGCAAGAUGCUGAAAUGGUUGUGAAGCACCGAAAAUUUGAAAGGAAAAGGACUAGGGUAAGACUCACAGCCGGCCAUGGAACAAGGCAGGUUGGAACCAACAGAGAACUGGAGACACUAAACAUAUUGACAAUGGUGCAAUCUACGAAGUAGGCUUGCUCACUUUGCGAAGGAAGGCGAGCGCCGCAUGGGCUAGAAAAGCGAUUUCGCUCAAGUCCAUGACAGUUGGUAUCAGAGCAAGUUUGGAGCUGGGAACUCAUGUUUACGUUGGAUGCUACCAUCGUCGACAUUGUGCUUGAACCUAGGGUGUCCAAGCACGGCAAGAGCAAAGAGUCAUGGACCCUUGCAAAGGAGUUCGCUCGACUCAAGAAUUGGGUGGGCUUGUUAUUGGACUCUGCUGCAAGAACGGAGGAGCACUACUCCGUUCUAUCCCAACAUGUUGGGAUGAUAGAGAAGGGGCUGCAUGCCAUGGAGAAUAGUGUUGCGGUUGCUAUGGCGACUUUUCACUAUCAGCUCGAGCAGUUCCCCAGGGACCUUACCCGUUGUGAGGACGAGCGGAAAGUGCUGGUGGAGGACCUUGUCACCAGGGUCAAUGAGGUCGAGGACCUCAAAAUAUAGGUGAUUAUACUCGAGAAGGCCGUGGCUCGCGGCGUCGAGAUGCGAAAGGGGCACACAGGUGAAAAGGGGAUUGACAAUUUUCUUUGACACAUGGAGCGCUAUCUUAAGACAUUGCGAUUGGAGGACGAGGAGGAUAAGGUCCAAAUUGUAGCCAUGUACCUCUCCGAUGAUGCCAUGCUGUGGUGGUGUCAGCGGUCGGUGGAGGUCGAGCAGGGUCGCUACCAACUUACUACUUGGGAGGACUUCAUGUGCGAGCUCCGGCGCAGUUCUACUCCGAGAAUAUCGAAUAUCUUGUGCAGAGGCAGCUUCGACGACGCAAACAUCAUAGGAUGAUGAAUGUCCAAGAGUACUCAAAGCUAAUAUUGGCGAUCUCCAACAUGGCCGAUGAGGAUCGAUUGUUCUUCUUCCUAGACGGCCUUCAACCAUGGGCAAACAAGGAGCUCGUGGCGCGAGACGUGAAGGACUUGAGCUCCACGAUCACUUUGGCGGAGAAAUUGCUCAAGCGAAAGCGAAUCAAGGGGGAUCGAGGUGAACCACCAAAGGUGAGCAAGGGCAGUAGUGAGGGACGGCACCGCAAUCCAGGGGCCACGAAGGGGCCCCAAUAGAACCAUGAUGCGAGAAGGCACAAGCAGAAUCCUGCCUUGUCGUCUGCAAAAACAGAACCAUGAUGCGAGAAGGCACAAGCAGAAUCCUGCCUCGUCGUCUGCAAAGAUCUCGUGCUAUAUUUGUAGCAAGAAUCAUUGGGCGCGGGACUGCCCAAACAGGAGCAACCAGAAGGAAAAGCAAGUGAGUCCAAGCCAAGAAGGGUGAGAACAUGGUACAUGUGUGGAGGAUGGGGGUGCUUAGGCUCGUCAACGCAGUUCGUGGUCAACCAAGCGGUAACAAGCAACGUAGGAGGGAGCUAAUGUUCGUCGAUGUGAUCCUCAAUGGAAGGACCACACGGGUGAUGAUUGACACCGGGCAACACACAAUUUCGUUGCGAAGGUGGAGGCCAAGUGGUUGGACCUCUUGCUCGAGAAGGAUGCGAGCCACAUCAAGGUGGUCAACUCCGGGGCACGUCCAAUCGUGAGAGUUGCCAAAGGCGUAGAGAUAGCCAUCAUUCCGUGGAGAGGCAAGGCCAAUCUCAUUGUUGGGUUGCUCGAUGACUUUGGAGUGAUCCUUGAGAUAGACUUUCUAGUUUCAUCAAAGGCAGUGCCUAUGCCAUACUUGUGGGUGCUUGGCUUCUUGGACGAGUCAGUGCCUUGCAUGGUUCCGAUGUGUCGGGGCGAGCCAACAAAGGACCAAACUCUUACGGCCCUACAGCUUUAUGAGGAGGUAUAGCGCGGGAAGGCUAAGGACCUUGAGGAGGAAGACCUGAGCAGUGGUGAGGCUGUCAAGUCUCAUGUGGCGCUGAAGCAGCCAACAUCCAAGUAAAGUGCAAAUUAUUCUGUUAGGCAAGAGUUCGAGGGGACCAAAGGGCAUCCCGUGGUUUGGCAACGUGCGCGUGCGUGUCGUGGAGGACAAGUACACUUUGUGGAUUCUCGACGUAACGAGAUCACUGGUGCUCAUGUUCAGAAGGGCAAGGGACUAGAGGCUGGUGCAGGAGCAAAGGCGAACUACUGUAGCAAGGCUCAGGGCCAUUCGGGUGCGAAGGCACGGCAUACUGCGUAGAAGGCUACGGGGACCAGGAGCAGCUCUGUGUGCGAUGAGGGCAUCUACGCAUUAAGUGGCGGAGGUUGUCAUGAACAAAGUAUUUUUCGCUGACUUCUCCUUUGCAAUCACCCAAACUCCGAAGAAGAGUUCUGUUGGAGGUUUUGCUGGGGCAUUCUAGAUGCUUCUACGCGGGUUUUAAGACUGAUGACGCAAUGCCGAAGGGUCAAGAGUCCCUUAGAGUUUCUAGAAGGGCAAUAAGUAUAAUCUCUUGGAGCUUGUAGCCUCCUUGCCUUAUAAUUAUGCGCCACUUAGUGUCUUUUCAUUUGUAGCUUGGGUGGCAAGUGGUCUUAUAUAAGGUUGUGGCCUCCACCCACUCUUCUUAGGAAAACAGUUGUAAUAUUUUCCCUUAUUAAUAUACACAACAUUCCAAACUCUUCUCUUUUAUACUUAGUCUUAGGGCGGGUAGGUCUUGACUUAGCAAGUUGAGAGGUAGGCUUGCUUCGCGAAGAAAGGUGAACGCCGCAUGAGCUAGACAAGCGAUUUUCCUUAAGUCCGCAAGCUCUAUUGUAGCCACUUUCUAAGUGAAAAUGACCUCUCAUGAGUGAUCAUAUAGUUAUGUGUUGUUCUAUUACCGAAAAUGGUAACUUCUCAGCUUAUCGGGGUGAAAAUUCUGUUGUUUCGGUGCACUAGCUGUGUACUUGGAAUCUUUGGAUGCUCCAAGGGCUGGUUGGAGGUCUCGGUAGGUUACGUAAUAGUUUUGGGGAGGUUAGAAAAUCGGUUAAAAAAACUGAUGUUCAGAUCGCACCGGUUCAUGUUAUUGACGACUUAAUGUCGUGAGUUGUUGUCAACUUGAUGUUUUGGAGCAGUUUGGACUCCUGUAGAGUUGGCUCAAGGGUUGGUCUAGUUUCGAAAGUUGGAUUGCUAAAUUGAUGUUCGAAAUAUAUUGUGGUGCACUUCGGUACAGUAUAUGUGUGUCGGUUAGUAUUAUAGACACGUGGUGGCUUAUAUUGAUAUUCGGUGAUUAUUUUUAAGUUCAUGUGACAACUGGAGGCACUGGUGGAGUUGCGAACUCAUGUAGGUGAGUGCUUCAAUGUGAAGUUGGUAAAGUAGUGCCUACUCGUUUACUUGUUCUAAUCAUUAUAUUCUUCAUUAUGAUUGAGUAUACCUCUUGCACCACUUUGACUUAUUAUUGUUAGUUACUCUACUGCAGUUAUUGCAUUUCUGGUUUGUUCUUGAGUUAUUUGACCUAGUUGGUCGCUAUUAUACAUGUUACACUUGUGACAUUGUUUUGACCCUGUUGGUCAGUUGAUUACCUCGGUUGUUAUAUCAUUGCAUGAUUAUAUGAUAGUUAUUUAACCUAGUCAGUCUGUUGGCAUUCGGUUAAAUCGAAUUGGGUGUGCCCAUAAUCGGGCUCAAUCCGACAGUUAUUAUGUUGUCUAAUUGGAUUAGGAUUAAUCUCGCUUUUUAAUUGGAAAGCUAAUUAGAGAUAAUUCUAAUCAUAUUAGGAUAACAAUUAAUAAUCGAUUUGGCCUUAUCUCUUACGCACCUAUUAGGGUUUUGGAAUCCCUUAUAAAUAUAUGGGGAAUCUCAUAUAAAAAAAAAAGAAAAAGAGAACAAGAAUAUUAAAAGAGAAACGUUGAAACCACAUCCUCCAUUAACCUAUUAUUCUAGAAGGUCUUGAAUGGUGGAUUUGCGAUCGUGCUCGUUUGUAGUUCGAUCCACCGCGAGUUUGGAGCGAUAGAAGAUUUUCUUGGACGAUCUGAGGACACGUGAAUCAACCUCUACGAUCCGGGCUCGUCGUGUUCUAGCGCGAAUCGCUUUUGCAAAAAAGUACGAACGAAUACUUCCGCUGCGUUCUACAUUGGUAUCAAAGCCAUUAUUAGGUUGAUUUCGUGUCCUAGAUUAACUCUUUAACGAGAUUGCAUGCGUGGAUUUAAAUCUAUCAUUAUUUAGAUUUUUUCUUGCAUGCUUGUGGGCGUUAAUGGCGGAUUUUUUUAGAAUGAAUGUUAUUGCAUGAUUUUUACACAUCUUGAAGCACCUAUGUUGUAAAUUAGAUCUACAAAGUUUGAUUUAAUAUGAUUUUGUAUUUUAUGAGAAAAACGAAACCUUAAAUCGAAACUUUGGGGGUGGCUUGUUUGAUGUGUGAUGUAUAUCCCAUUGUGAAACUUGCAUGAUUUGAAAGAGCUCUUCACAAGCUUUCUAUUGAUAUAUUUCUUGUACGAUUCGGAGUUCUAAAUCACAAGUUAUGAUUUUUGAAGCUUAUCUAUCUAUUAAAAAAAAAAAAAUGUAUUGUUCGGUGUAAUCCACACGGCUUGGAGUCGCGUGGGGGCUCAUGCGCGCCACGAGCAGGCCGCGUGGGCAGCGCUGGCCGCACGCGGACCACGAGCGCAAGCCACGCAGGACGUGCGCGGGCUGCGAGCGGGCCGCACGCACGUAGGCCACGCGGGCUAACUGGCCGCGCUCGGGCCACGCAGGCCAGCGCGCACACCGCGCAGGCCGAUUCGCGAGCGGGCCCGCAACCCGCGCGUGCCUGCUGAGGCUUCUUUUUUUGGUUUUUCUUUUGUUUUUUGCACUUUUUUCUGUAAUAAAAUAAAUAAUUUAUUUUUAAACAUAUUAAAAUAAUUUAAUAUGCUUUUGUGACAUAUUAGCAUACAUUUAAAAUAUUAUAAUACUUUUUAUGAUGUAUGGAUAAAUUCUUUUGGCAUAAUAUAUAUUUUUUUAUGCAUGCCUUAUCAAGUGGGAAUCUUUUAAUUUUUGGUACAGUAAAUUAUAUGUCUUUACUCCCAAAUAUUUUGUACAACUUAAUUAAAUAAUUAAAAAUUUUGAUAUAUGGUGUGUAAUGUGAUUAUAAGCAUAGCGAAAUUUUUCUUUACGCAUCUAUGAUCUAAUUUUUAAUUUAUUUAAUUAGAGAUGCGGCAAAAUUGAAUACAUAUAUUAUGUGCUAAAUUUUAAAAUAUCUUUUUCUGUGCAUUGUGUGAACUUAGUAAGAUUAAAUGGCCUCCAAACAAGUUGUUGAUCAAAGGCGAGAAAUUGGAUGGUGACAAUUAUGAUAUUUGGCACCAUAAAAUUCAAUAUAUUCUCGCCUAGCAAGAGGUUUUAGAAAACUUUGAGUAAUAAAAUGGACCAACCCAUAGAGGGCACCAGUACUCAGUCUCGCCGAGAUAUGGAAGCCUAUAAUAAUUGGUUUAAAAAGGAUCGCAUUGCUCGCAUCACAUUGCUGAGUGGUAUGCAGAAUGACCUCUUGUGCGAGUAUGAGCUGUAUCCGACUGCGUAUGACAUGUGGGAGGCUCUCAAAACUAAAUUUGGUGCGACUUCGGUCACAAGGUUGCGCAGCCUAACAAUGCGGUUUGACAGUUAUAAGAUACGUGCUGAUCAGAUUAUGAAACAGCAUGUGAGAAUAAUGUCAAAUAUGAUUCGCGAGUUGAAGUCGGCUGGCGCCACGUUGACUGAUGAGCAGCAGAUCCAAAUUAUGAUUCGCUCACUUCCCAAUUCGUGGGAACAUAUGCGAGUAAAUUUGACACAUAAUGAAAGUGUUAAAACUUUUGAGGAUGUUGCGCGGCAUCUGGAGUUGGAGGAGGAGCGCCUUGAGGUUAUUAAAAUCCCAACCGCCAAUGUUGCUAAGUCAAACUUUCGCAGAACAUCCGGAUUCAAGCGAAAGAGGACUACUGGCCCUCAAAGUCAUAGUGGAUCCGUGCCUAAGAAUACGAAGAACACUAAAAGAAAGAGAAGCAAACGAGGUGGCAAGAAGGACAAGUCAAAGAUGACCUGUUUCAAUUGUAAUCAGCUGGGACGUUUCGCUCGUGAUUGCACUUAGCCGAAAAAGGUACCUUUUUAUCCUGAUUCUCGCUCUUUUGUUUCUUCUAGCACGUUUGUUGCUGAAUCUCUCCCUCUGUGGAUUGUAGACUCAGGAGCAACGGACCACAUAGCAAGAGAUCGAAUGCGAUUCAUCGAGUACCAUUGUGUGCCUGAUGGGAUACAUGGGGAAUGAUUCCAGUGUCAAUGUAUUAGGCGUUGGCACAUACAAGUUGAUCAUGCAAGGUGGUCGAACUUUAUACUUUCGUGAUGUACUUUAUGCUUUAGGAAUUCAGCGGAAUUUGUUUUCUAUUCUUACUAUGCUACAGUUAGGCUUUUCUUUUCAUUUUGAGAAUGAUGUAGUUAAGAUUCAUCUUGGAACGAUUUAUUAUGGAAGAGGUUUUAUUUCAAAUGGUUUCAUGAUUUUGGAUAUUGAUUAUAAUUAUAAUGAUAGUGGUUCUUUUUUCCUUGCUAUCUUUUGUUGAGAAUGAUCACAAUAUUUUAAUUAAAUGACAUGCACGUCUUGGUCAUAUUGGGCAGGAUAGAAUGACUAAAUUAGUUAGAGACGAGCUAUUGAGCUCGCUCACUAAAGUUGACCUACCCACAUGUGAACAUUGCUUAGCGGGAAAAGCGACCCGAAAAUCAUUUAAUAAAGCUUCUAGGGCAGAAUUUUCUUUACAAUUGAUCCAUUCCGAUAUUUGUGGCCCAAUGAGUGUGAGAGCAAGACAUGGUGUUUUUUACUUCAUCACAUUUAUAGAUGACCAUAUGCGCUUCGGUCAUGUUUAUAUGAUCUCCCAUAAGUCUGAAGUAUUUGAUUGUUAUAUUAAUGAGGUUGAGGAUCAGUUAUAUAUGAAAAUUAAAACCUUAAGAACUGAUCGAGGCCGCGGGUAUCUAUCUGAACAAUUCAAGAAAUUGUGUGAUGAAAAGGGAAUAAUCAGACUGCUGACAAUUCCUAGCACUCCGCAACAAAAUGGUAUAACGGAGAGAAAAAAUCGUACCUUACUUGACAUGGUUAGGUCAAUGAUGACGCAAGCAAAUUUGCCUAUCUCCUUCUGCGGAGACGCAUUGUUAACUACUGCCUACAUUCUUAAUCGUGUAUCGUUCAAGACAGUACCUUUCACCCUUUAUGAAUUAUGGACAGGCAGGAAACCAAAUUUAAAGCAUAUGCGUCCUUGGGGUUCGGCAGCUUAUGUAUAUGACAUUUCUCACAAGUAUGGAAAGUUGGGUUCUAGAGGAAAGAAGUGUAUUUUUAUAAGAUACCCUGAACAUUCUAAGGGAUACGUGUUCAUCGGAAAGCAGCCAGAUGGAAGUUUGACUGAGAUUGAGUCACGAGAUGUUGAAUUCCUCGAGGAGAAUUUUUCUUAUAGAAGUGAGGUUCGAAAUGAAAUUGAGUUCCAUGAGAUGGAUGACUCUGACAUUGGCGCUUCUAUUCGUUCAAUUGAGACAGAGGAGGUGACUCCGAUACCUCCUGGGGAUAGUGGGAGCGACUUAUCUUUAGAUAAGGAGCCUCAACUUCGUAGGAGCACACGUAUGGGCGUUCCCCGUCGUUGUUUUGAGAUUGAGGGGGAAGCUUUCAUGGUUGCUGCACAUGAUGAUGAUGAGCCUAGGUCUUUCCACGAGGCUCUCUCAUCACCUACUCAUAAGGAAUGGUUGGAUGCAAUGAUGGAGGAAAUGGAAUCGAUGAAGUCAAAUUAUUUCUAGGACUUGGUUGACUUGCCACCAGGGCGCAAAACAAUUGCGAAUAAAUGAGUUCUCAAGAUUAACCGUAAGGCAGACGGUUCAAUCGAUAGGUAUAAAGACUCGCCUGGUAGCAAAGGGUUUUACCAACGAGAAGGCGUUGAUUAUAAGGAAACUUUCUCUCCUGUCGUAAGGUUUGCUUCGAUCCGCCUAAUCUUGGCCAUUGUCGCGUAUUUGGAUUUGGAACUUUACUAAAUGAACGUUAAAACUACAUUUCUCAAUGGAGAACUGGAUGAGGAGAUCUAUAUGGAUCAGCCUGCUGGCUUCUCUUUAAAAGGUGAGGAGAAUAAAGCUUGUAAGCUAUGACGAUCCAUCUAUGGAUUGAAGCAGUCCUCCAGACAAUGGUAUAUUUAAUUUCAUCGAGCCAUCACUGAAGAUGGGUUUACGAUGAUUGAAGAAGAUCACUGUGUGUAUGUUAAACGGUCCAAAGGAUAUUUUCUAAUCAUUUCCUUAUAUGUUGAUGACAUCGUACAGGCCGGGAAUAAUAAGAAGAUGAUUGUGGCCACUCAGAUACGACAGUCUCUAAUUUUAAGAUGAAGGACAUGGGUGAAGCGAAUUAUAUGCUCGGAGUCAAGAUCCUACGAGAUCGUUCAAAGAAACUUUUAGGUAUGUCUCAAGAGACUUAUCUAAGAAAAAUUUUAGAACGAUUUCAGAUGCACAAUUGCAAACUCAUUGACACUCCUAUUGCUAAAGGUGAGAGUCCGAACCUUAAAUAGUGCCCUAAAACUUCAGAAGAAAAAAAAGAAGAUGAAUCGGAUUCCAUAUGCUAAUGCAAAUGGGAGCCUUAUGUAUGCUAGAUGUGUACUCGGCCUGAUAUAUGCUAUACCGUGGGGUUGGUUAGCUAUUUUCAGUCCAAUCUGGGAUUGGACCACUCGAAGGCAGUGGCACAGAAGGAAAUAAUCCUGGAACACAUCUCUACGAGUCGCAUGGUUAGCAGAUCCUCUUACAAAGCUUAUUAUUACAGAAUCCUAUUUCGCUCAUGUUAAAGUUCUCGGACUCCGCAGGAUUUGAUUAUGUAGACAGUCGAUUAUUUUUUGCCAUUUCUUUUUGUAAUAUUUUUGGUUAUUUAAUUACAAAUUAUUAUUUUGGCAAAGAUAAAUAUUUGGUAAGAUUAGCACACGUACAUAUAUUUCCUAUAUUGUUGUAGAACAAAUUGAUAGUAUAUCGCAAGCAGAUUAGCCCUCUCACACGGGCAAUCAUUCUUUUUGGCACUUUAGAAAGAGAGUGAAAAUUGAGGUAUUAAUGGAAGCCACCUUGAUUGGCACCAAGAUGAGGUCAUUAAUGAGACCACAUACGAAUAGUCCCACGAUUUAUAUGACCUGUACACUAAGAGCCGGAUGUGAGCUCACCGUUUGGCGCUUGAGAUAGCGAGCAAAUGGAGAACUCAGGCUAGACACUCCGGGAGUGACUGAGCUAAGAUCCGUAUGACAUUGAGAAAGAUAUACGCUCAUUGAGAUUCUCUGUCAUAGCAUGUAUUUCAUACUACAUGUGCUAGGCGACAAAAUAAAGAAGAUGAGUGAAUGGAUCCAUUCUUCCUCAUCGUGUGAGUUCUUAUGGGCAUUAUUUUGAGGCGAUGUCCCAUAUAUGUUAGAUGCCCUUAGUGACUUUUGACUAUGUCAUUAAGUGAAAGAAUUGAUGUUACUACUUUGGUAUGUUUCCUACGGCUAUGAGUGAUGCGGCUUUACGGGGCGUUGCUAGGAAAGUAAUCAGUUCUCAACUCGAUGGCAGGAGGGCUCAAGAAAGACUAGUUGAAUUAUAUUCAAACACUUUGACUCAUUGUCGAUAGGUUGUGUCGCUUCAGCAUAGCGAAAUAAUCAUGAGUAUAGUGUCAUAAUGUGCACAAUAGAGGUUAGCAUGGCUCUUUGAGGGAUUAGAGAUGCUGAACCUGAUGUAAUUCAAUGGUCUAGGGCAUCAUGAGUCUAAUAUUCUCUUUUGAGGGUUGAUGUCUCUAUACUGGCCGUAUGCGGUUUCUAGUAUAGAGCUCCCAAAAUGCAGGUUGACUCGGCGGUCGCACUGUUCAUUUUCCUACAUGAAUAGAAUCAAUAGUGGUGUAAUGUUGAGGAAGUGGUUACGAUAGUAUCGAUCCCGCUAUGUGCUAGUGGGAGAUGUUGGUAUUCGGUUAAAUCGAAUCGGGUGCGCUCAUGAUCGGGCUCGAUCCGACAGUUAUUAUGUUGUCUAAUUGGAUUAGGAUUAAUCUUGCUUUUUAAUUGGAAAGCUAAUUAGAGAUAAAUUCUAAUCAUAUUAAAAUAACAAUUAAUAACCGAUUUGGCCUUAUCUCUUACGCACCUAUUAGGAUUUUGAAAUCCCUUAUAAGUAUAAGGGCGAUCUGACAUAAAAAAAAUAAGAAAAAGAGAACAGGAAUAUUAAAAGAGAAAUGUAGAAACCACAUCCUCCGUCUUGAACGGUGGAUUUGCGAUCGUGCUCGUUUGUAGUUCGAUCCACCGCGAGCUUGGAGCGAUAGAAGAUUCUCUUGGACGAUCCGAGGACACGUGAAUCAACCUCUACGAUCCGUUCUUGUCGUGUUCUAGCGCGAAUCACUUCUGCAAAAGGUACGAACAAAUACUUUCGCUGCGUUCUACACAGUCAGUAUUAUGCAUAUAUAUAAUAGUUAUUUAACCUAGUCAGUCAGUGUUAUGCAUAUAAUCCUUGAGACAUUGUUCAGUGGAUUGUUUGAUUAUCUCUCUUAGCUAUUUGUCGUCAGUUUAGUUAUUUAGCAUAUAGCAUCAAUCGUCAUAGCUCCUGAAGCAUUUCACGUAUACCGGUGGUUUGGCCCCUACAAUGGCAACAAGAUGAAGAAGAAUAUGCUAUUUUGAGGCACUUAGAAAACAAACAAAAUGAAAGAAAGAAGAAAUGGCUAGAAUUUUGGAGAAACUCAAAAGAAAUCCUAGCUUGGGUUUAGAAGAGAAUAAGAAUUUUAUACUUUAACCUAAGCACUGGGGAUGUAACAUGCGUCCCACAAUGCGACGUUGACUAUGUUCUUGGCGGGAGUGUGACAACUUGGCCCACUAGUACUAAUAACUCGUUUGGGCCCAAACCACCAGCCCAAAGUACUUUAACUUAGUUAUUAUUACGAGGGUUCAUAGUCUCUUACCUAAUCAUAACUUAGUUCCCAUCCGAUGUGGGACUAUUUUAGGAUGUCACAGACUCUCCCUAUUUAGAUCCUAACGUUCUCGUCAGUCCAAUCAGACUUAUAGCCCAAGAUUAUCGGGUGAUGUGAGGCCUGCCUCACACUUUCGGUUAGUGAAUUAGCUUUGAUAUCAAAUAUAACAACUCGACCCACUAGCAAUACGCCGUGAGUCCAAAAUGAUUCACCAGCGCAAGUGGUAAAAGGCUUCGUGGUUGGUACCCGAGGUCCGAAGUUCGAAUCCUCGUUGAUUCACCAGCUAAGUUUAUUUCUAAAUGAAAUAAAUGAAGAAGGUAGCAUACUAUCUAUCUCUCUCUCUCAAAAAAAAAAAAAAAAAAAAAAAAAAAAAAAAAAAAAAAAACUCAUUGAGCCUACGCCGUGAGUCCAAAAUGAUUAAGUCCAGUUAUUAUUGUCAGGGUCCAUAAUCUGUUGUGGGAUUAUUAGGGUGUCACAGGGAGAGAUAAUGAACUACAUUUAUAUGCAUAGUAAUUGGAGAUAAUCGGAUGCAAAAUGUCUCACGAAGUUUAGAGAUUUUAAUACGUCUCGAGAAUUUGAAUGAUAUAAGAUUUUGAAUUGAAGAUCAUUUGUCGUUUAUCGAAAGACGAGCAUCUACUAGGGGGUUGGGCUUAUUUUGACACCAAAACAUAGACAAAUCCAAAGAAGACACAUGUAAAUCACCAAAACUUAUGCGUAUAAAAGGGUCUGUACUCAUAAGAGUAUAGUAGCCUUACUAUAUAUAUAUAUAUGUGUGUGUGUGUGUAGCUAUCAAAAGUAUAAGAAAGUUGGUGCUUCCGACUUUUUGGCCCUAAAUCAAGAAUUGUAGAGCCGGGAUGAUACCCUCUUAGAGUUGAGUGGUCCUCCUAGAAUAAUAAUAUGAAUUCAAAGAUCAGAAAUGAUCACAAGGUUAAUCUAAUGCCCAAAAAAUUAGAAGCACAAACUCUCUUAUGCUUCCGAAAGUAUAGUAGCACACAGAGAGAGAGAGAGAGAGAGAGAGAGAGAGAGAGAGAGAGAGAGAGAGAGAGAGAAGUCGGUAUGCUUUUGGAAGUACGGAGCCCUUGGUGCUUCCAAAUCGUUAUCAAUGUUGGGACUUUCGAAUUGACGAUCGGCUCUAUUAGACUUAAUUUAGAGUAUUUGAAGUACUUAUAAAAUAAAUUUCGUAAUUUUUCGGUAUUAUUUGCUUAGUGAUCAAAAGGAUUCAAAAUCAAUAAUUUUAAUGGCUGUGGUAAGCUGUUUGCAAGUUUAAUAAUAUAGAAAUAUUCAAAUCAUAUUAAAUUUUGAUAUAAAAUUUUUUAUACUAUAUUAAACAAGAUCAAUAUUUUUGAUCUAAAAUUUUAAUUUCAUAUCAUCACAUUUUGUAAGACUUUUAUUUUCAGCCGUUGAUUUUAGGAGUCCCUUCGAUCACUGGACAAAUGAUAUCGAAAAUUGCAAAAAAAAUUUUCUAGGUACUUCAAAUCCUCUAGAUCAAAUCUAAUGGAGCCGAUCGUCGAUUCGAAAGUCCUAACAUCGAAAAUGACUUAGAAGUACGGAGGGCUCCGUGCGUGCUUCCAGAAGCAUACCAGCCUCACUAUAUAUAUAUAUAUAUAUAUAUAUAUAUAUAUAUANNNNNNNNNNNNNNNNNNNNNNNNNNNNNNNNNNNNNNNNNNNNNNNNNNNNNNNNNNNNNNNNNNAAAAAAAAAAAAAAAAAAAAAAAAAAAAAAAAAAAAAUGUCCAUAUCAAAACCUAUGAAGACCCAAACUCCUAACGUGGGUUUGGAACAUAUCCCUAGCUAUCAGCUUGGUCAACGGAUCAGCCACCACCCUAGUGGUGGAUAUGUGUCUAAGAAUGACCUCGCCUAGCCUGAUCAUCUCUCGAAUGUAGUGAAAACGGNUUUAUAUAUAUAUAUAUAUAUAUAUAUAUAUAUAUAGGGAGAAAGAGAGGGAGAGAAAGAGAGAGAGCUAGGUUCCCAUGCUUUCGAGAGUACGGUGGUCUCCAUUAUUGUAAGUUGUUUUCGAUGAUUGGACAUCCGAUUCGGCGAUCGGUUUUGUUAGACAUGAUCUACGUUAUUGGAACUAUCUAAAAUCCAAAUUUCAUAAUUUUUUUACUCCAUUUGCCUAGUAAAUGAGUAGAUCCAAAAUGAACAGCUGAAAAUAAAAAUCGCAUAAAAAAUAAUGAUAAAAUACUUAAAUUUUAAACCAGAAGUAUUGAUAUUACUAUUGAUAUUAAGUAGAAUUUUCUAUCAAAGNUUUUUUUUUUUGAGAGAUAGGUAGCGCGCUACCCGCUUCGUUUAUUUCAUUUAGAAAUAAACUUAGCUGGAAAUGUGAAUCAACUAGGAUUCGAACUUGGGACCUCGGGUACCAACCACCAAGCCCUUUGCCACUUGCUCUAGGGACGGUCGGUAUAUUAAAUAGAAUUUUCUAUCAAAGUUUUAUAUAGUUUAGAUUAUUCUACACCGUUGAAUUUAAAAACGUGUCACAUCGACCGUUAAAAUAGUCUUUUUUGAGAGCUUUUGACCACUUAGUAAAUAAUAUUGAAAAAUUAUAAAAUUUGGUUUCUAAAUAGUUUCAAUAGUAUAAAUUAUGCCUAACGAAGGCGAUUGUCAAAUCGGAUGUCCUAUCAUUGAAAACAACUUAUAAAUUGAAAACCUCCGUACUUUCGAAAGCAUACUAGACAUACUAUUUUAUAUUGAGUAAGAUGCUAAAUAUCAAACACCGUAGAGAUGUUUUAGUCUGGUACAAUCAAAUUUCCAUUGAAUAUAUAUAUGGCACUGUUGCGUGCCAUUGCAGUUAAUAUUGUGAUAAUUUAUUAUCUUUUUCAUUAAGUUUACUCAUAUUGACAUAUUCAUCUCGUAUCUUAUCUUAAUUUUUGCAAGGUUGAUUCUAAGUUAGUUUUCCAUCCAAAACCCUCACGGGCGUCCAACCUUUAGAUAGCUACUCUCAUACUACUGUCAAAUUAAAAAAAAAAAAAAAAAAUUGAAGUGAUGAAUUUUUCCAUCAAUUAUUAGGUGAUAAGUCAAAGAAAAUAAAUAUAAAAUGGCCAUUAAGCAUGAUGAUCAGCGCUCCUCUUGACAAAUUAAAAAUAAACUUUCAGAUGAAAUUUUAUUAAUAAAAAAAUUAAAAUCAAGAACUUAUUUACGGUAAUAAGUGAAAGGUUAAAUACCAAAUCGGAAUAAGGCAAAUGAUUUUGGGGAUACAUGUAAAUUUCAUCACAUCAACUGUACUAAUGAAAUCCAUUAAAAAAAAAAUUGAAUUGUUUCCUACGAAAUCAAUUAAUCUGUAUACAUGCAAAUUUUUGGGGGAAAAAAAUUGAAUUGUUUCCUACAAUAUGUGUACAAACGGUAUAUGUUGAACAAUUUAUACAAAUGUAUCAACUAUUUAUAUAAAUAUUGCACUAUUAUAAGAGAAUGUUAUAUUAUUUAAAAAAUAAAGAAUUAAAAGAAAAAAUAAAAAAUAUUUUUUUGUAUUGGAAAAAUCGUAUCGUCAUUGUUAUAGGAAAUGUCAAGAACCAAAAAAAAAAGAAGAAGAUAAUGAAAUUACAAUAUUAAGAUGAACUUACACUAUUUUCAGAAGAAUUGUAUUGUUCGAGAGGAAAGCUGCACUCCUUGGACGAAAGUUGCACUGUUUGAGUGAAAGUUAUACUGUUUGAGACAAAAAUUGCACUGUUCGAGAUGAAACUACCACUUUUUGAGCGAAAGUUGUACUGUUCGAGACAAAAAUUAUACUUUUUGAACAAAAAUUAUACUAUUAAAAAUUAUUUGAAACUAAGUUACACCAUAUAAAAUAGAAGUUACACUUUUUAAUACAAAAUUACACCAUUUAAAACUAUUUAAGGCAAAGUUGCAUUAGUUUCAAAUAAUUUUAAACGGUGUAAGUUUCAAACUGUGUAACUUAGUCUCAAACAAUGCAAAUUCUAUUUUAUGUGGUGCAAUUUAUUCUCAAAUAGUUUUAAACGUUGCAACUUUCAUUCAAAUAGUGUAAUUUUCAUCUCAAGCAGUAUAACUUUUGCUCAAAGAGUGGCAGUUUUGUCUCAAAUAGAAUAACUUUACAUAAUUGUCUUCCCAAUAUAAAAUAAUUUUUUUUCUUUUUUUUUCCUUUUAUUUUUUAUUCUUCUUUUUUUGUCAUCUACAUCUUUUUUCGCUAUCACGCUCUCUCCUUUGCCCUCUGCCACAGCCACCACCCUCGCCAGACACGCUCUCCCACCCUAUCAUCCUUAAAUCCACCGGUACCUUCGUUGUUGUCGCUAUCCACGGCCAUAUGCUCCGCUGCAAGCUCACCUAAUGUGAUAUAUAUUAUAUCUGAGUCGGCAUCGGUGGAGGUGUGGCCAAGAUAAGAGAGUGGAACGCGGCGUAGAUUUUGGGGCAGUAGAGCAUAAUACAAAAGAAGAUGAAACGGGAAGGAGAAUGAGAGAAAGAAUGUGACACCUCAAUAGUCCCACAUUGGAUAUAGUUAUGACUAGAUGUGAGAGUAUAUAAGCUUAAUUGGGCUAGGCAAAAAUAACUGGGUUUAACCAUUUUGGAUAGGUGGUUGGGCCCAACAAGUUAUUAUUGCUAGCGGGUCGGGUCGUUAUAUUUAGUAUCAGAGCCAGUUCACUAGCCGGAACUGUGAGAUGAGUCUUGGCUGAGUCAGGGUCGGUGAUUGACAAGCUAAGUCAGGGUCGGAAUGACAAAGGCUAGCAAGACAAGUCUCACAUCACCUGGUGAUUUUGGGCUGUAUGUGUUUAGGGCUGAUGAUGAUGUCAGGAUCUAAACGGGAGGAGUCUAUGACACCCUAAUAGUCCCACAUCGGAUAGUUAUGGCUAGAUGUGGGAGUAUAUAAGUUUGAUUGGGCGAGACAAUUAAUAAUUGGGAAAUGGCCAGGUCGAAUUAGCAAAAUCCAAAAUAAUGGCCUAUUUUUGAAAAAAUGCAAAACCAGUAGAUUUUUUAUGCAAAUUGGCAUUAAAAUUGUCAAAUUUCUAAAAAAGUACAUAUGCGAAGUCAUAAUUGCACAUAUUUUUUCUCAAGAGACAAGAAUCUGAUUUAGUGCAAUUUUUUUUUAAAAAAAAUAUAUAAUUAGUAAGACAAAAUAGUACAAUAUUCUUUCAAAUUAUAUAGUAUUCUCUCUCAAAUAGUAUAAUAUUUGUAUAAAUGGUACAAUAUUUGUACAAAAUUGUGCAAUAUUUGUAUAAUUUAUAUGUUGUAUAAUUUAUAUGCUAUAUUGCGAAUAAUAUAUACAUACAAUUAGUAUAACAUAUUACAAUAUAUUAUAAAAAUGAUAAUGUAUGUGUAUAAACAGUAUAUAUGUUACACAAUUGAUACAAGUGUUCACACCAUUGUGCAAAUAUUGUACUACUUAGAUAACUAUUACAUUCUUUGUUCUUUACAAAUUAAAUUAUAUUGUAUAUUAAAAUAAAGUGUCAAAUUUUUAAAAAUUAUUACUGUUAAAUCAUAAUUGCAUGUACUUUUUUUUAAAAGAUGAGAAUCCUCAAUUAUUACAAAAUAGAAAAAACUAAAUAAAAUUAGUAAGUCGAAAGAGUGCCUCAUUCUCUCCUCAGUAUAAUAUUUGUAUAAUAUAGGUGCAACGUUUGUAUAAAAUAGUACAAUAUAUGCGUAAUUCAUACAAUCCAUACCAAAUAUACUAAUUGGCAGUUUAAAAAGUAUACGUGGCGGCAUUUCCCUUUUUACGAAUUAAAAAGAAGCCAACAUAAGGCAUGGGCCAAUGGAACCUUGCCACGCGUCCUAAGGUGUUUCCUUUUUUACGAAUAAAAAAAUUAUUCUCAGAUUUUUUUCAAAAAGUUUCCAGAUAUGGCUCAUUUUUCAACGAAUAAAAAAUGACAAUCCCUUUGUUUCUUAGCUCCUUCCCAAGGGUGGACCAGCUUGACAAGCUCCUUUUCAAGAAAACCCUCUCUUUUCCAAGAUAUUCUUGGAAUUUUUCAAGGAAGCUCUUUCCUUCCCAAGAAAAUCUUCCUUCUCAAGAAAAUCCUCUCCUUUUUGCUCUCUCUCUCUCUCUCUCUCUCUCUCUCUCUCUCUCCUCCUCUCCCCUACUCUCUCUCUCUCUCUCUUCCGUUCUCUCUACCUUAACCCAAAAGCUUUCAUUGGGCUCAGAAAGUGCCAAUGCCGCCCCUUGCCUUUCCCCUCUCCUCCACCUCCGAAACCUGAUCUCCAUCUCGACAACUUCACCCCCUCCGCCUCCGCCGCAGCCGCUGCUGCCGCCGACCUCGAGAACAGCCACAGCGCCGCCCAUCCCCGCCUCUUCGCCUCCCCCUCUCCUCCUCCGCUGAUGCCAUGACCGGAGGUGACGACGAUCGAUCUGGAGCGCGGGAGCUGGAAUCCGAUGGAUCUGGAGCGCUUGAAGGCGGGCUCGCUCUCGAUGAGGCACGAAACCCUCCCUACCGCCCCGAUCCCCAAUGCUCCCGAGGAUCUCGCGUAAUCGGCAGAGGAGGAGAGCAAAGAGAAGGACGACGACGAGAAAGAACAGGAGGGGAAGCAGGGGCAAGAGCGCAGCGGCGGCAGGAGCGGCCACGGAGGCCACGGCGAGGGCCGCAGGGACGUCGAGGGCCGCGGGGGCGUUGAGGGCGGAGAUGUCUGCCGCCGAGGGGAGGGCCAGCGCGCGGGUGGAGAGCGAGCGGCGGCAGACGAGCCAAGGGGUAAUGAAGGGAUAGAGGUUGGGGCGGCGGCGGCGGUGGUUGCGGCAACUAAUUUAAGAGCUGCGUCGCUCACAAACAAAAUUGUAUUAGGGACACAAGAGUCACUAUACUAUUUUGUGAUUCCUUUUAAGAGACCUAACAUUUACUUGAAUAAAUGAAAGAAAAUUAAAUAAAGUUAGGAGCAUAUCAAAAUCCAAAAUUAUAACCUUCUAUUUUAAUACUACAUUAAAUUAUAAAAAAUAAUUAUUUUCUCUGAUAGCUUACACUACCUACCUAAGAAUAACAUUUUUAAUUUAUAUUUAAUAAGUGCACAAAUAAAAUAGAUUUGGGGUAUAAUACAAAUUAUAAUCUCAUGAUUAGUUGCCUAAAAAUGAUUCAAGUGAAAAAAGUUAAUUUUAUAAAAGUGGCUUUUAGGAAAGUAAUUUUUGAAUUUCAUUGUUUGGUUGGAUAUGAAGUAAAAAAUAAAAAAAUUUGGUUUUGAUGAUUUCGAUUGUUUGAUUAUUUGAUUAUAUUAAAAAAGUAAAAAUAUAAACAAACGACUAUAAAUUAAAUUUAAAUUUAAAUUUACACUUGGAAUUCAAAAUUAAAUUUUAAAAUUUAAAUUUAAACCUAAUUGUGAUUAAAAUUUAUAAUUAAAAUUUAAGACAUAUAAUCAAAUUUAAUUUGAAUUUAAAUUUUAAGUUAUACCUUAUAAUUAAAAUUAAAUUCUAAAAUCAUAUUUCAACUUAAAUAUUAAAUCUUAAUUCAAAUUUGAAUUCAUGAUUUGACUCAAAUUUUGAUUUACUAUUUGAUCAUAAAUUUUGAAUUCAAAUGUGAAUUCACAAUUUCAAUUAAAAUUAAAAUUAAAAUGUGAGUUUAAAUCAUAAUUCAAAUUGAACAUUCGAAUUCAAAGUUCAAACAAAAUCUUAUUAUUGAAAUUAAUUCCAAAUGCAAACUAUCUAUUGUCACAAACAAAAUAACUUGUAAAAUGUCACUUUCUAAAAUUAGUACUUUAGGUGUUCACUCUCGGCCAACCAAAUAUAAUAAAAGAGAAAAUAGAAAAUUAAUCUCAAAACUAUAUAAGAGAAAAUAAUAAGGACAAUUAAUAAGGGACCCAAAAGCGAAUCAAAAUAAGAAAGGAAAGAUGAUAUUUGUUGUGGCUUAAUUUUAAAUAAAUCUCUAAUAUAAAUAAUUUAUAUUUUUUAAUUUUUUUAAUUAUUAUUUAUUAAUUAUUAUUGUAUAUUUAUUGUAAUUUUUUUCCCACAGUGAAGCGCAGGUGUUUAACUAGUAUGCACAAUCAUACACUAUAUUCAGAUAUAUAAUAUAGAGUCCGGCUACUAUGCUAUCGGUAGCACGGAGCGCUCCGUGCUACCAAAUUGUUUUCGAUAAUGCGGCUUCCAAAUCGACCAUCGGCUCCGUUACACUUGAUCUACACUAUUUAAAGUAUUUGGAAACUAAAUUUCAUAUUUUUUUCGUCAUCAUUUGACUAGUGAUCAAAAGAUCUCAAAAUUGACAAUUUUAACGGCCGAUGUGGUGUGUUUGUAAGUUUAACGAUGUAAAACAAUCCAAAUGCGAUGAAAAUUUUAUAGAAAAUUCGUUUCACUAUUUAGAGUAAGAUCAGUAUAUCUAAUCUUGAAUUUAAAUCUUUUAUCAUCAUUUUUCAUGAGAUUUUUAUUUUCAGCCGUUCAAUUUUAAACUAUUUGUUUGAUAGGUAAAUGAUAUCGAAAAAUUAUGAAAUUUAGUUUCUAAAUACUUUCAAUAGUAUAGAUCAAGUCUAACGGAGCCGAUCGUCGAUUUGGAAGCUACAUCAUCGAAAAUAACUUGGUAGUACAGAGCGCUCCGUGCUACCAAUAGAUAGUAGCCUAGUUCUAUAAUAUAUUAUGUAUAAAUAGUAGCAUGUAAUAAUUUGCCCCCGCGAGAAAAACUUCAAUUUAUAUAAAAUGGUGCAGUAUUUACUCUCAAAUAGUACAACAUAUUAAUUUUCUACAUAAUUUGUAAAAUAUAUUAAUUUAGUACUCUAGUUAAAGAUAGGUUCUAACAGCGAGAUACUUCAAACAGUAAGGUACCAAAGUAAAAUUAUGCUAAAUGCUUCAAAAUUAUGCUAAAUGCAAUUGAAGCUUUUUCAAAGUAAUAAAUAUUACCAUAAAACCAAUUAUAUAAACUCAGUACCUAAAACAUUAAACUAGCAUAAUAUGAACAAAAACAUGAGAAAAUUAAUUACUUAAACACAACAGUACACCCCAGCUCACAUUAUGCUUUCGACAUUGCAUACUGACGUGGCCUAACACAAACAUCUAGACACCUCGAAUUAAGGCCAUACAAUCGUGCCAAAACCUUCUUAGCUAGACAAAUACAACUUUCAAGUACGACCAAACUCUUUGAUUGAAAUAAAUAUGAAAUCUAAUAAAUAUCCCAGUUAAACCCUAAUUAAAUUUAUAUUACCGUUAUAAUAGACUAAAAAAUUACCAUCUAUAAGUGUAAAUUUUUCAAUCUAAGAAUUUUAGGAUUUACAAAAAUUUAAAUAAAUUUUAGUAAAAAAAAACAAAGUUGAUAAACAAAGGAAAGAAGAUGAGCUCUUGCAUGAAUAAAGUACACACAAGAUGUAUAUGUCUAGUCUAAGAGUGUAUAAAUAAUAUAACUCAAUAGAUAAAUACCGAUAUACUAAUAAUUUAAAUAAUAAAAUUGAAUUUGCCAAUUACUCGCAAAUACUAUUCUAUUCAGGUAUGUUGUUAUUUUUCUAAAAUGCUGUUCGCCAAAAAAAAUACUUGUAUUGAUCGAAAGUAAAGAAAUUAUAAAAAUAUGAGAGUUGAGUGCUUCGACGGAUUCUCCGUUGUGAUUUGAUGUACUUGAAACACGUUAUAUUUAACAUUGUAAAAAAUUACAUAUCGCAUGUAUUUUCUUUUAAUUUAAUUUUAUUCUUCUUGUAAUGCUUUAUUAUUAAAAACUUCAUAUAUAAACCAAAUUUAUUUUUUCAUAUGUAUAUUAAAAUUAAAAGUGAAAACUAUACUAAAGAAGCAAAAAAAUUAUAAAUUGUUGUUGCGUAUCUUUAAGAUUUUAUCAAAAGACGUGCAUGUUAUUAAGAAAUAAAAAAUCAAAACAUAUAGAAAAAGUAAAAGGUUAGGACUACUUUUGAAUUAUCUAAAAGAUUAGGUAUCUAAACAAAAAUUACACUCUAAAGCCUAUUUUCGUCAUUUCGCCUCUUUCUUCUCUCCAUUUCCUUCCAUUGACCAUGAGAGCUCCAACCGCCCAUCCAAGUUCUCCACUCUCUCUCCUCACCGCCCCUGCGAAAAGACAAUUCUACCCCUCAUUCCCCGGCUUCGACACCGCCUCUCGAAAGCCCAUUCUCGUCAUUUCACUCUCUUCUUCCCCUCCCCUGCUCCCCACCUUUCACUUCCCCUCCUCACUCCACCUCUCCUCUCCUCUCCUCCGUCCAUGAUCCUCUGAUCACCGUCCGAUGGGGAGCGGCAUCGGCGAAUCUCAGCCGUCCAUCUACCCCGACCCCGCCCCCCUCCUCCUCCCCUCGUCGUCGUCCGCAACCUCCGAACCCUACCCCUCCCCCAUCUCCUUCGUCCCCUCCCCUCGCCCCUUCCGCGACCUCCCCCUCGCCUCCCUCUUCCUCCUCCUCUCCCUCUCCACCCUCUCCCUCGGCCUCUUCGCCCUCUUCCGCCGCAACCCCGACGCAACCCGCGCCGACCUCUUCUACUUCGACCCCUCCACCUCCUCCUGCGUCCUCUCCGACCCCCGCCUCUCCUCCUCCCACUUCUCGUCGUCCUCCUCCUUCGUCAAGGAUCUAACCCUAACCCUAGUCGCCACCUUCCUCCUCGCUGCCCCGAUCGCGCUCGCCCUGCUCUGGAUCCUGAGGCGAUACACUAAACAGGUGGUGUACGCCGCGGUCCCCUUCUUCGUCCUCACCCCCGCACUCCUCAACGCCUACUGGUUCGCCGCGUGCACGCUCGCUGAGGGGUGCCGCGCCGCGUUCCCCCUCGCCUACCGCGUCCUCGUCCUCGUCUUCGUCUUCGUCCUCGUCGCGAUCAUCCUCUGGAUCGUCGUCGCGAACUGGUCCCGCGUCGAGCUCACGAUCCACAUCGUGCGGGUCGCCGCCGCGGCACUCGCGGAGAACCUUGCGCUGCUCGCGGUGCUGCCGCUGCUGGGGUUGGGGCUCCUCGUGUACUUCGCCCCGAUCGUGGUGUUCCUGGUGUUCGCGACGUGGAACGGGGAGGUGGUGGCGAGGGAGAGGGAGGGGGCGAGAGGGGAGCGGCACUACGCGUGCGUGUGGAAGCAGGACGCGUGGGUGCCCGCGUACUUCGCCUUGGCCAUCAUCACGAUGGUGUGGUCCGCGGCAACGAUGGUGGAGGCGAAGGUGUACGUGAUCAGUGGGACUAUAGCGCAGUGGUACUUCGCCAAGGAGGGGACGAGGCCUACUAAGAGCUUGAGGAGUUCUUUAAGGUAUGAUUGGGUUUGUUCUCGGCUUCUUUGCUUUUUUCUUAAAAAAAAUUAAUUGAGGUUUGAAUUAAUUUUUUGAGUGAGAGGUGUAGAAAUUGGAUGACUAUUGGGUAUACUCUGUUUAAAAAGUGUUUGCAUGCAUAUGAUAUCCGACGAACACUGAAGGAAUCCCAUAGCUUCUUGGAUCAUGCCAGAGGAGGUAAGAAUGUGGAUGAUUAUCGAGAAGAAAAAGGCGAUGUCCUACGCUCUCUCUAUAAUAUCUUAAAAGACUUAUAAAGUACUAUUUUAUGUAAAAGCAUAACAUAUUGCUAGUUAAGCAGUUGAUUUUUAUUGGUUUACCCAAAUUCUUACCAACUUAAAGCUGUUUUUUGGUAUUUAGGAAAUAUUAGUCUUCUAGUUUGCGGGGAAACUGAUGAAAUUUGGAAGCUAUGAAUUGUCAAAGAAAGGUUGAACAUUUUUUAUCAGGGAAUGUCAUUUCAGAUCAGUUUGCCCUAAUAGAGCGUUUGGCAAUUAGAAUAAUUUCGAGCAUUUGCUAUAGCGUGGAGCAGCAAGCACAAAACGAUUUUGAGACUCAAAGUAGUGCUUCUGAUUAUGCAUUUAUGCUGCAGUAAAAACCUGUCUAGAGGAACUUAAAAUAGUACCUUUUCUAGAAGCAUUAGUCAAACCACGCAUCAUUAAACGGCACUACACCUUAUAAUAUGGUCAAACAGGUCAUUAGGAUCAAUGUUUUGAGAUGUAAUUAGGAUUAUUAGGAGGACUGUGCUAGCACUAGGAGCUCCAGUAUAGGAGCCAUCAUUUGCAGAUUUUCAUGGGCUGUUUGCUGAUUUUAUUCUUGUCUUGUCUAUGAGGCAUGGUUUUAGUCGUUAAAAAAAGGUAAAAUGGUAAAAAUGUAUAAAACUUAUCUCAACUAUCACCCAUUUGGAUUUGUCUACCUAACUUUUAAAAAUUUUGAUUUUACUACCUCACCUUUUAAUUUAUUUGGUUUGAGUCAAUCAGUGACUCUUUAACUUCAAAAUUUAAAUGCAUCAUUUAUUUUUACAGGUUUGAUUAGUAUAUUAAUCCAAUUUGGAUAACUAUAAAUUCAUUAAAGUAAGCAAUUAGCUUAAAUUUUAUAUCUGAAGAGCCAUCAAAUCACUUAAAUUAAAAAUUUUGAAAGAUUGGAUAGGCGAAUCAAAAUGCUCUAGAGUUCAGGUAAGUUUUACAAUUUUCACCUUUAAAAAAAUGGAAUUACUUUUUUAUCAUGCUUUGCAAAAUUCCAUUUUCACACUUACAUAUAUGAACAGAAGAGAUGCCUUUUUUGUCAAAUUGUCUGGCACUGAAAGUCGUUUUUUGAUGUUUUGGCUAAAAUUCCAAAACUAGAAUGGAACAUUUUGGAUUCAUUAGGUGCCGAUACGAUUGUGAGACCUUUCAAAAAUUCAAAUUGAGUUGGAUAGAGUCUAUAGAGACCUAGUUUUAAAACAUCUACUCAAAUUAAUUGAAACUAUCUUUUAAUGCCUAGUAUUUUAUACAUAGAUUGACCUUGCAUACUUAUUUCUUUAAUCUUUCUUUUUUUUGGUAUUUUUGAUAUACAACAACAUGAUUAUUAAGAAAAGCACAAAAUAUCAUUUUGUUAUCAUUAUUUAAUUUUAUUUAUAUUGAUCUCUUUGAAAAGUGAACCCUAGGACUGCUGAAAUUGCAGAAUUAUCUAAAUCUGAAGUCAGAGCACGGACCAAAACCGAAGCUGAUCGUUGGCGCCAAGCUUAAUGUAAUAAUUCCAACCACUAAAUCUCAUUAUUUCAUGCUUAUGUAAUGAAGAAAAUAAACUGCCACAACUCUUCUGACUGAUCUAUGUAGAAGAUGAUGUUUGGCUGCGAAGGGUUGAAUAUCGAAAUGUUAUGAUUCUUUGAUAAUUUGGGCAUCAAAGUACCUUGAGGCCAUUUUCUUAUUUGCGCUGUUCAUAUAGUAUAUCAGAUGUUAGCUAACUAGAAUUAUUGGAGUUCUUGGAAGAAAUUGUAAACCAAUCACAAUUUGCUGAAAAUGGGACUAAACUUUUCUCACUGGCAUGCAAUCCUUAGCUCUUGACAUUUAAUGCUAAAAUACAUUUAGUUGCAUAGAGCAUAGUUCCCCACUUAAAGUAAAAGUACCUUGUGCUUGACUGUCUCUACAUUAUCCAGAUUUGACUUCAGUGGACUUCAACUGAGAAUCUGAUGGAUUCGAUUUGAGUAAAACAGUUCUCAUAGAACCUUUAAGUGGCAGGAUAUGAUUGAGUUGCCUCAAUUGAACAAAUAGGAUAUACUUGUUGUGCAGCUGAAAGCUAGAAAAUGAUAUUAAAUUCCAUUGUGAUUUUAAUUCUAUUUAUAUUGAUGUUGUUGAAAAGUGAAAACUGGGACUGCUGAAAUUGCUGAAUUAUCUAAAUAUGAACUCCAAGCACAGACUGAAACCGGAGCUGAUCUUUGGCACCAAGCUUAAUGCUACAACUCCAAAGGUCCAACCACUAAAUCUCAUUAUUUGAUGGUAAUGUAAUGAAGGUAAUGUAAUGAAGAAAAUAAACUGCAACAACUAUUGUGACUGAUCUAUGUAGAAGAUAAUUUUUCGCUGCAAAGGGUCAAAUAUCGAGUUGUUUUGAUUCUUUGAUAAUUUGGAUAUCGUGUUGGCUAUUUAUUAUUGGCUAAAAUAGGUCCAACUUCUUACCCCAUGAUAAUAGGCUUAGGAGACUGAUAAGUUGUGUUGCAUGAGCCCAAUAUGUUUAGUAGGGCUGUGAUCUACAAUAGAUCUAACAGCAAGUGGCCCAACAAUAGACCUAACGCUCAUAUGGGUUGAGUCAGGUCGAAACCCGUGUGCAUUAUAAUUGAGCCCUUGAGUGCGAUGAAAGCGCCCUUUCUAUCAGCACGUGCUUUUAGGUUAGUUGGUUAGCGCUUAGGAUUCGCAUAUCGAAGUAACUUGAGGUUAUUUUUCUUAUUUAUUCUGUUUAUAUAGUAUCUGAGAAAAGUUAGCUAGCUAUAAUUAAUGGAGUUCUUAGAAGAAAUUGUAUAUUAAUCACAAUUUUCUGAAGAUGGGACUGGACUUUUCUCACAUAUAUGCAAUCCUUAGCAAUUGAGGUUUAUUGCUAAAAUACAUUCAGAUGCAUAGAGCAUGGUUCCCAUCUUUAAGUAAAUCACCUUAUGCAUGAAUGCCCCGUGUUAUCGAGAAUCGACUUUAGUGGACAUCCACUGGGAAUUUAAUGGAUUCAAUUUGAAUAUAAUAUGCUUCAUAGAAAAUUUUAGGUUAGGAAGGGGUUGCUUUGCCUCAACUGAACAAAUCAGAAAUGUUUAUUGUGUGACUGAAAGCCCAAAACUCCACUAAGAUGUUGGACAACAGCUAAUGUUAGUGCAUUGAUGGGCCCAAUAUAAUCCAUGUUUUGUGUCGUUCAUAUCUUAACUCUGCCUGGCCGACAUCUAUGUCUUAGGCAUCACUAAAGAAAUAAAUAACCCAUACUAGAUCCUGCCUGCUCCUUGCAAUUCCAGAAUUUAUCUUGGAUUUUACUGGAAUUGAAUCUGGCCUAAAAGCACUAGAGCCUAGAGGCUGUUUUCCAGUUGGCUGUCUUAAGAGGUCGGGUGUUCAAUCCCUUGAGUGGGCAUUAAAAAAUGGGCCUCAAGCCCCCAGCUUCUUGGAUUAUGAAAUAGUAUAGGUUUAGGUGUUAUGGGGUCUAGGGAAAACAGUUCUGUGCUUUACCCACCUAGAUAUUUAUUAGGACACUAGUACUAGAUUUUUCUGGAUUACACCAUCUUUCGAAAAGAGAACAAACCACUAAACGUUACAUUCUUAGUUAUUCCUGCAGUUCUAUAUUUUUCGUAACUUGUUUAUCCGAUAUUGUUUUUGUCAAAUAGAGAAGUGGUUGAAGGUUUUCCAGACAAAGAUCUAAUGGUCUUUCUGUUGCUCUUCUGAUUGAACACAAGAACUUAUUCUUCUAAUUUAGACAUUUCUCCUGGAUUUAACUGUCUUAAUUAUUUUUCUACUUAAUUAUGCAGGAAUGCUUUUGGCCCCUCUUUUGGCACAAUUUGUUUCUCAGGAAUGGUUAUGGGUGCCGUACGCUUUGUACGUGCUGUUGUAGACAGUGCAAACCAAGAGAACGAAACUCGAGGAUUUGUAAACCUCGUUCUCAAGUGUUGUGCCAAUUUUUUGUUCUUGGCAUUUGACUUUGUCAACAAAUUUACUAUAAAUUUUGCUGCAAUAACGGGCGAAGCUUACUGUUCUGCUGCGAGGACGAGUUACGAUCUUCUAAAGCGGAAUCUCUUGUCUGCUGUUUUUGUUGAGACAGUCUCCACACGCGUGCUAAUUGGGAUAAUUUUUGUCCUCUCAGCAUUCUAUGCUAUUGUGGUAAGUUCUUAUUUCUAUAGCUGUAGUCCCUGUUUGUUCCAUAGAAGGCAACACUAAACUGAUUGUCAUCUAGUAAUGAAAUUUCUACUAGUUAACGACAACUUUGAUUAAAUAACGGGUAAGAGGAUCAUCAGGGUUACAUUCUUGGUAACCAACUGACCUUACUUUGUGCACCUAAUAACUUGUUCUAUUGCUAGCGUAAAUAUCUUGUUUGCUUCCUUGUCAACUAUCUGUAUAUGCACUACUACUAGUGUUGCAGUCUCACUUUGAUUCUUAGUAUUUUUCUUUUAUUUUGUUUAAAUUUUCUCUGAGGCUCUCAAUUACUUACGAGCUAGUUUGGAUCACCAAUAAGGUCUAACCAUUAAUUGAUAACACUCUCUAAGAUACAUCGUAGCAGAUCUUUUAUAUGUUUGCGCCUUCCAACAGGUCUGUGCAAUCCUAAAGGCUGUCAGCGCUCUGGGUGUCAAGAUGUACUUAGUCGCAGCACUUGCAUGGCUUCUUCUCAUGGUCGUGUUGGGUUACUUUGUACAUGUGUUGGAUAAUGUCGUCGACACCGUCUAUGUGUGCUACGCCAUCGAUAGGGACAAGGGCGAAGUGAACAAGCAGGAUGUGCAUGAGGUUUAUGUACAGCUCCCUCUUAGUAGGAAUCACCGGCCCCCUCUUAGCAGUAGAAGUCCAUUAAUAGUCUAAAACUAUUUGCUGCUUAUCACGGAGGUGAUUUACCAAAUAAGCGCUACCAAAUAAGCGCAGUGUUAGCCCCUCAAAAUGUCCAGUAAAUGCAUUCUCGAGCUACUAAAUUAUCAAUUUUGUAUAAUAUAUUUACAUCUGUAUUAUGCAUUUGUAGAAAAUAUGAAAUGGGGUGUGGUGGUUCUUAUCAUCUUCUUAUCUUUGUAUUUACAAGAAUAUACUGGUACCGACUUUUAACUCUAUAGAUCUUUACUCUUAAUUGAUUUUAUUUUUUAUUAUUUUGUAUCUGUGUGUUUCUUUGUGAACUUGGAUAUAUUUUCUUCCAUGAUCAUGUGGGUUUAUGGCUGUUUGUUGUUUAUUUUUGUACGCUUUGCUAUUCAUUAGCAUGGAUUCCUGACCAAACAGGGCUCAGAAGAUUUUAUGAAAUCUUGUGAAUAAUAGAGCAACUAUAUUAAACAUGUGUGGAUAUAUUUUCUAAAAUACAACUGUCGUUAUUGGCCAAACUCAUUUUUAUAGCGUUACAUCCGAAUAUAGUAAUUUGUCAAAAAAAAUUUGGGCUUAUUGGAAAUAGUGGUAAAGCAUAGGAUUCAAAUUGAAGAAAAAUUUUAUCCAAGAAGAUAAUUGAGACACAAGUUAAAGUGCCAGUGAGAAUUCUGUAAUGUAGCUUUAUUUAUAUUAAUAUAGACUUUUUGUAUAAAAAAAAUUAUAAAGCAUAAUGAUUUGACACUUAUGCUAAUACUCCCUCAUCGUUGCCACGGUGAUCUAAUCAACCAUGACUCAUGGUAAGAUAGGCUCUUUCAAAAAAAUGGUACAAUUAUUGUUGGUGUUGGGCCGAAAGAAUAGGAUUUUGGAGUGGGAGGCUAGGCUCUUCCAGAAGAAUUUAGGAUUCUUGAUCGUCGGUGGUUGGACCGAAGAUUAGGAUUUUGCUCGGGACUGAAAGUUAGGGCAACUGAGUAUAACUGGUCCAAACUAUAAAAAUUAUGGUCUUGCUUAGGAUCGACAGAUUAGGACAAUGAAUUGGAUCAAGGAUUGACGAGCACUAUAUUGCAACUGAGUACAUAAUAAUCAAAAUUUUAAAAUAAUCAACCAAUAUGCAAUGUGUAGUGUUCCUGACUUUGGAUAGGGUGGCUUCAGUAUUAGUGACUGGUCGACAUCUCUGGAGAGUGUCGGACUGAGUCGGAGUCAAUUCUGCACGGAAUUGGAUGCAGAAUUGGACUCGCGCAUCCUCAAUAAGCAAAACUAGAGUUUUGCCAGAUUCGGGCGCCCAGAACAUUUUUUAGGGUCGCCCAGAAACGAGUGUUGAAUUUAACUGAAACUGGAAGCCAAUUCGGAUUCCAUGUUCCGGGCGCCCAGAUGUGGGUCCAGCAAAUUCGACAUCGUGAAUAUUGCUUGCUUCGACGCGUGGCAGGCGGUAGGUGAGUUCCGCCGGAGCCAUUUACGGGCGCAGCACACGCGCGAGCGAGAGUCCGAGGAGCCCGUUUGUGCAGUCGAGAUAUCUGGUCCCCAGAACAUAGUUCCGGGUGGCCAGAAACGCGCGUUUCUGCAUGAACUCUGGUUAGCAGCUGUUUUCUCUUGAGGCUUAUCUAUCCCUCCAGUAGCCUAUAAAUACCCUAUUAUGCGUCCCCAUUGAGCUCUUUUUACCUGUUCUUCACAGAGAACUUAGAUUUUGAUCCCAAAUCCCUCCAAUCUUUCCAUUUUGCACAAGAUCCACAUUUCGCAAGAAUUGCAAGGUGCUGAUUCUGCAGUUCUUCGCGACGACCUCCAGUGUUUUGGCUCGUGCGCGACGUAGGAAGGUCGGAUUUCGACGAAACUUGGUUUGCUGGAUUCUAGACUUCCAGAGGAAUCCACGAAGCCCUGAAUUACAGAUUUUGGUUGAGGUUAGCUUGGUCGAACUGAGGUUUUCCUCUACUGCUGUUGCUUUGGUCAGAAUUUGCCAAUUUUUGAGUUUUCUUGGGGUGAACUUAGGAAGCAGGGGCUUUGUGGAGCUGAGUCACUUUCCCUAUCAACUAGUACUGGAUUUGGAACCCUCUCCACUUGAAUUGGAGAUCAUUAGGUGAGUUUUGACAUUGGAAUUGGAUAAAUCCAAGCUUAAGGCUGAAAUUGAUGAUUUUUAUUGGAUUUUUGGGUGAAUUGUAAAUCCAGAUCUUGAGGGGCUUUGUUGCUGCUUUGGAGGUGUUUCCAGCAGUGUUGCUUCAGAUCCGAGACCCUCUUGCUGCCAGGAUUUGCAUUAGAGGUGGGUUAUCAUCGGUUUCGCUCCUAAGUGCAUGUUUAGUCGACGUGUAUAGUUCGGUUCUUGUAUAUCAUACUUUAAUUCCUCGAUUAGCAUCUUGAAUGUAAUAUGAAUGUAGAAGCAUGCUGAAAUAAAUAUUUAUAUUAUACAUGUUGGACUUGAAAUUUGACUUAGGAGAAAACCUGCGUUUUGACCCGUCAUAUGCUUAAACUACCAGAUUUAGCUCUAGAAGCCGUGAUUCGAUUGUAUCGUUGCAGCAUCAGUGCGAUGGAUACCUGGGGUAGUUUAGAAGGCAUUUACGCUCAUGCUGGGGUGCCGAGCUUAUUUUUUAGCAGAGUUUAGGCUGUUUCGGGUCGUUGGGUGCCGUUCGGAUUAGCGAUGGACCCAUAUUCUUGUUUUGGUCACAGAUUGUGCCGAGGACACGUGGGUUUGGUUUGUAGACCUGUUUUGAUCCUGUUCACUUGACUUUGGCUAGUUGGAGCCUGAUUGAGCUCGACAGAGAUACGCUGCAUACUCAGUUGGGUAGCGCCCACGAGUGCCACUCCGGAGUCAGGCUUUGUGCUUUCGCGUUGGUGUCGCUCAUGCCGGUUGGACUUGCUCUCCACGGACCAGUUGUGUGGAUAGAUCCUGAUAGUUGCAACUGGGCAGGGACGGGUGUGUUCACAGUCCCAGGGACGGGUAUGUCUACAGUCCCGAUUGGAUUGGGUCAGAUUUGACAUUUCCUACAGUUGGUUAGUGUAGAGCAUGAUAGUAUAGUGAUUUGUAGCGGUUGAGUUUAUUUUCUGCUUUUUGGCUAUUCUUGCUCCCUUCUGUAGACUUAGUGGGUGGACCGAUGUUGUUUUGGGCGGUACCCACUGAGGACUACUUGUUUUUACAGUAGUUCUCACGCCCAGUUGUUACCCCUGUUUUGUAGAGCCACAGGUUUCGGCUGCUGCGCCUUCCGCGGAUCAGGAUCGAGGCAAGGGCGUCGCGAGUUAGAGCCCUACCCGACGUGCUGAGCUAGAGGUGCCCCUACUGCAGGUAGAUGUUUUGUUUCGAGUUUAUAUACAUAGUGGACUUAACUCGCCAGUGCGAGUAGCUUUGUAUUUUGGAUUUGGACUAUGUAUAUGAAACUCAGUUUGUUUAGCUUCUGUUUUCUCUAACAGCUCUCUACUACUGUUCGUAGUAGUGUUUGAUUUACAGGUACAGCUAUCGCUUCGUAUACAGGGGAAAUUUCUUUGUAUACGGCGGAUUUCUCGGCGGGCCCGGGAAAAGUGUAAUCCGGGGCGUGACACAAUGCAAAUCAUCUUUCAAAAUCCAAGUAUUCAAACUGACAAACCAAACAAAAACUAAAUAAAAUUCUUUUUAAUUUGAUUCCAUUUGAUUUUCCACACUGUCGUUUGGUUUUUUUUUUUUUUUUUGGAUUUUUUUUUGCAUUUAGCCGGCUCAAACAAAUUUAUUCCACUCGAGCCCCAUUUUGGUAUUUUUAAAUUGAACGCCAUAAUUAAAUUACCGUAUUCAUAUCCAUAUUUUAGUCUCUUAAUUUUUAACUUGGGGGCUAUAAAAAAUUAUAAAAAGAAAUACAGUAAUCUAAUCACUAUAUUUAAAUAUAGUGAUUGAAUCAUCAUUAUUCACCUUAAAAUAAUCACAUAUAAUUAUUAGAGGCUUGUGUGGCAAGUAUAAAGCUAUUUAUGUUAGGGGCAAUUUCAUCACUACCCCUCUCAAAUAUGUAAAUAGCAUAGAUACCCCUGUAAAGUUGAAAAUAUCAUAUAUACCCCUUCAAAUGCAAAAAAAUUUCACAGUUACUCUUCCUUCUAACAACUGUAACUAUAACUAUGGUUAAAGUUUGGUUAAAUAAAGGUUGAGUUACAAAAUGACUAAUUUAGCCCUAAAAAGGUUAGGUGUUAUUUUGAUAGCAAAUAAUUAAGGGGCAAUUUCAUAAGUACCCUUCUAAAUUUUAAAAAUAACAUCUCUAGCACUAAUUAUUAGUGCGUAAAAAAUAAAAAAAUCCCUCACCUAUAGAUCAUUUUAAACUAGACCCCUUUAAAUUUUAUUUUUUAACAUUAAGAGACCUUGAACUAUUAGUUUUUCUUUAUUUUGACUUUACUUAGUUAAAAGUUUUUUAAUUGAGAUUCCUCACAUGAAUUUGAUAAAAUUUUUAAUUUUGCUGGGAAAAACACUCAAUUGCUAAAAUUUUAAAAAAAACACUUAGGUUGAGAGGUUAUAUAUAUAGAGACUAUAAUACUAUCGGUAGUACAGCUUGGUUUGCUACGAUUUGUUUUCAAUAAUAGAACAUCCAAAUUGACAAUCGGCACCGUUAAACAUGAUAUAAACCAUUUAAACUAUCUGAAAAUUAAAUUUCACGCUUUUCCGAGUUAUGAUCCUGUCAAAGUGGAGUAUAGAUGAGAGGGUUUUCAUAAAAUUUUACUUUAUUGUUAACAAUAAAUUUUCAAUUAAAAAUUUUUUGUUUGAGCAAAUCAUAUAAGUAAUACUCUAAUAUCGAGAAUUUUGAUAUCAAAAUAUUUUUAGCAUGAGAUAUGUGAGUUAUUUAAAUAAAAUUUUUAAAAAUAAAUAUUUAAAUAGUUAAUGUUGAAUUCUACUAUGGACAAAUUGCAUUAUAACUAUGUAUAAUUUAAAAGCGAAAAAUCAUAAUGAGAUUUAACUAUUACACUUAAUAAACUAUAGAUCUCUAAUUGAAAUAUUUUAAAAAUAAUGUUAAAUUAUUAUGUGAUUCAAAUGUUAAAAAUUGAUCAGAUAAUUAAUCUUAAAUAUUACAUAUUUAAAAUGUUGCUAGGGGUAAAAUUGGUAUUUAUAAAAUAUUGGAUGACAACUUGACGAAAAACUAACCUAAAGGGUAUCUGUGAACAUUUUUGGUUUUAAGAGGGUAUUGAUGAUAUUUUUUAGUUUAAAGGGUUAUUAAUGAAAUUAUGAUUUUUCAGAGGGGUAUUGAUGAAAUUAUCCCUUUAUGUUAAUAUAAAUUUGCGAGCGCUAAUUUGUAAAAAUAAAUUUUGAGAUGGCUAAAUGCCAAAAAAAAAAAAAAGAAAAAAAUAAAAAUAAAAAUAAGAAGACUCUUUUACUUCAAUUUUCUUCAGUCAAAAUCAAAUGGAAGGGCUGAAUCACUAAUACGUUAUUAGUGACUCCAACACGCACGCAGUCACGCAGAUGCUAUGGUGCGGAGUCCCACCGUCUCUUGCCGAUCAUCUUCCCUUCUCCUCUUCAUUCGGUCCCUUCCCCUCCCGCCCGACCCCUUCCUCCUCCCCUCCACCUUCAAGGCCUGCGCGGCCCUCCGCUCCCUCCGCUCUGCUCGCCAGCUCCACUGCAUCGCCGCCGUCUCCGGCCUGUCCUCCGACCCCUUCGUCCAGUCCGCCCUCGUCCACGCCUACCUCAAAUGCGACUCCCUCCGCGACGCCCACCGAGUGUUCGACAGAAUGGCCCCCAGGACCGUCGUCCCCUGGAGCGCCAUCAUCGCCGGAUACGCCGCCGCCGGACGCGUCCACGAGUCCACCAAUCUCCUCCAAGACAUGCAGACCGCCGGCGUCCCUCCCAAUCUGAUCACCUGGAACGGCCUCAUCGCCGGNUUCUCUCUCUCCCUCUCUCUCUCGCGCGAGGCACCCGCAAAACGCAGGGAGCCCGCUGCAGGGCGGGGGUUCGCUGCGGAGGCGACGCGUGGCGGGUUGAGGGUUCGCCUUUUAUUAGUUGUAUAGAUUAGGAUUCUUGAUCGUCGGUGUUGGACCGAAAGAUUAGGAUUUUGCUCGGGACUGAAAAGUUAGGGCAACUGAGUAUAACUGGUCCAAAACUAAAAAAAUUAUGAUCUUGCUUUGCUUAGGAUCGACAGAUUAGGACAAUGAAUUGGAUCAAGGAUUGACGAGCACAUAUGCUAUGCAACUGAGUACAUAAUAAAUCAAAAUUUUAAAAUAAUCAACCAAUAUGCUAUGCAAAUCAUCUUUCAAAAUCCAAGUAUUCAAACUGACAAACCAAACAAAAACUUCCAUUUGAUUUUCCACACUCUCGGUUUGGUUUUUUUAUUUGGAUUUGUUUUUGCAUUUAGCCGGCUCAAACAAAUUCUUUCCACGCGAGCCCCAUUUUGUUAUUUUUAAAUUGAACGCGAUAAUUAAAUUACCGUAUUCAUAUUCAUAUUUUAGUCUCUUAAUUUUUAACUUGGGAGCUAUAAAAAAUUAUAAAAAGGAAUACAGUAAUCUUAUCACUAUAUUUAAAUAUAGUGAUUGAAUCAUCAUUAUUCACCUUAAAAUAAUCACAUAAUUAUUAGACACUUGUGUGGCAAGUAUAAAGCUGUUUAUGUUAAUAUAAAUUUGCGAGCGCUAAUUUGUAAAAAUAAAUUUUGAGACGGCUAAAUGCCAAAAAAAAAAAAAAAAAAAAAGAAAAAAAAGAAAAGAAAAGAAAAUAAAAAAAAAAAGACUCUUUUACUUCAAUUUUCUUCAGUCAAAAUCAAAUGGAAGGGCUGAAUCACUAAUACGUUAGUCACUCCAACACGCACGCAGUCACGCAGAUGCUAUGGUGCCGAGUCCCACCGUCUCUUGCCGAUCAUCUUCCCUUCUCCUCUUCAUUCGGUCCCUUCCCCUCCCGCCCGACCCCUUCCUCCUCCCCUCCACCUUCAAGGCCUGCGCGGCCCUCCGCUCCCUCCGCUCUGCUCGCCAGCUCCACUGCAUCGCCGCCGUCUCCGGCCUGUCCUCCGACCCCUUCGUCCAGUCCGCCCUCGUCCACGCCUACCUCAAAUGCGACUCCCUCCGCGACGCCCACCGAGUGUUCGACAGAAUGGCCCCCAGGACCGUCGUCCCCUGGAGCGCCAUCAUCGCCGGAUACGCCGCCGCCGGACGCGUCCACCAGUCCAUCAAUCUCCUCCACGACAUGCAGACCGCCGGCGUCCCUCCCAAUCUGAUCACCUGGAACGGCCUCAUCGCCGGCUUCAACCGUAGCGGGUGCUCCCGGCAGACGGCACUGAUGCUUCGGAGAAUGCACGCCGAAGGCUUUCUUCCCGACGCGGCGAGCAUCUCGAGCGCCCUUCCUUCGGUCGCCGACGCGGAGGAUGUCCGGCUGGGCGGGCAAAUACACGGCUGUUCGAUCAAGAUCGGAUGGCAGACGGAUGCUUGCGUGGUCAGCGCGCUCAUCGACAUGUACGGCAAGUGCGGCUGCGCGACGGAGAUGGCCCGAGUGUUCGACGAAACGGCGCAGACGGACGUCCCUUCUGCCAACGCCCUCGUCGCCGGCCUCUCCCGGAACGGCCUUGCUGCCGACGCGCUGCGCGCGUUCAGGCGGUUCCGCGAUCGAGGGAUGGCGCUGAACGUCGUGUCCUGGACCUCGAUCGUCACGUGCUGCGCGCAGAACGGAAGGGACAUGGAAGCGUUGGAGCUAUUCAGGGAGAUGCAAGUAGUAGGAAUAGAGCCCAAUUCGGUCACGAUCCCUUGCGUUUUGCCGGCUUUCGCUAACAUCGCCGCUCUGAUGCACGGCAGGUCGACCCACUGCUUCUCUCUCAGGAAAGGGUUUAUCGGUGACGUUUACGUUGGUAGUGCUCUCGUGGACAUGUAUGCAAAGUGCGGAAGGAUUAAGGAUGCGCGAACUAUGUUCGACGCUAUGCCCGUGAGGAACGUAGUGUCUUGGAAUGCAAUGUUGGGCGGGUACUCAAUGCACGGGAAGGCGGCGGAGUGUAUAGAGUUAUUCGAGCUGAUGCAGAGAUCUAAGGAAAAGCCCGAUUUCAUAACCCUCACUUGUGUGCUGUCUGCUUGUGCCCAAGCCGGUCGGACCAAAGAGGGGCAACUCUACUUCGACAGAAUGUAUCAGGAGUACGGAGUCGUUCCGAGAAUGGAGCAUUAUGCUUGCAUGGUUAACCUCCUCGGCCGCGCGGGCAAGCUGAGGGAGGCGUACGAUUUAAUCGAGCAGAUGCCGAUGGAGGCCGACGCCUGUAUUUGGGGGGCUUUAUUGAGCUCUUGUCGGGUUUAUGGCAAUGUGAGUUUGGGGGAGACUGCUGCGGAGAAGCUGUUCGAAUUGGAGCCAGGAAAUGCUGGGAAUUAUGUGUUACUUUCAAACAUUUAUGCUGCGAAGGGGAUGUGGGAUGGGGUGGAUAAGAUAAGGGGUGCGAUGAGGAGCAUGGGAUUGAGGAAAGACCCGGGCUGCAGUUGGACUGAGAUUAAGGAUAAAGUGCAUAUGCUGUUGGCAGGGGAUAACUCUCACCCGCAGAUGAAGCAAAUUACCGAGAGAUUGGAGAAGCUCGCGGUGGAAAUGAGGAGAUUGGGAUACCUUCCGAGUACGGACUUUGUAUUGCAGGAUGUGGAGGACCAAGAGAAGGAGCAUAUCCUAUGCGGGCACAGCGAGAAAUUGGCAGUGGGACUGGGGCUCAUAAGCACGAGUCCUGGAACUCCACUUCGGGUGAUUAAGAACCUCAGGAUCUGUGGUGACUGUCAUGCUGCUAUCAAGUUCGUAUCUAGGUUCGAAGGAAGAGAGAUACUCGUCAGGGAUACUAAUAGGUUUCAUCACUUCAAGGAUGGAGCAUGCUCUUGUGGGGAUUACUGGUGACGAAGUUAAUGCACUCUGGUGAGAUUUUUGAAGCCUGUGCUAACAUAUUCUCCUGCUGGAUCGGUUUUAGUAGAUUCUGGUGUAGAUGUCGAGUUAGUCCUUGCAGUCUGAGUUUCAAUGGAGGAAGAAAGAGUAAGACAAGAAGCCGGUGCGAGAAAAGCUGCUGAAGAAGCUGCUAAGCAAUGAGCAUGAACCAGACAGCAGUUCAGCUCUUCCUGCAGAUGAGGCCAGACACCAACUAAUGUACACUUAAUCCAUUCUUUCCCUCUUUUUCUCUCUGUUUUUUAUAUGUACUAUAUUCCCAUAUUGAGUUAUUGUAUACGAAUUAAUAUGUAUUGAGCGUACAAAGCCUGUAAUUUUGUUCUUAGCUUUUACCUUACGCAAUUGUAUGUCUUUUAUCAAAUUGAUUCUUUAUUUUAAUUUAAUUUUUGUUGCUUAAGCUUCUAAGUACUGGGGUGUCUUUUGUCUAUUUAUACUUUGUCCUCUGAAUGCCAAAAUUUAUCAGAUAGUCUUGUUCAGGACCUUUAGGCUGCGUUUGGUUGGAGAACUAAAUUUUGGAGAACAACUUUUGUUGUUCCCGAGAACAGGGGAUAUUCCGGUACAAGAUAGAACAAUUGUAAAUUUGUGUUUGGAUGCAUUCGAGGAUAUUCUAGAGGAUAUCCUUAAUAGCGUUUGGAUAAAAAGUCUAGAACAACGUCUAAAUAUAUUUUUAAAAAUAAAAUAAUUAAUUUAUAUUAGUAUAUUUUAUAUAAAAUUAUUUAUAAAAUUAUUUCAUAUAGUAAUUUAUAAUAUAAUAUUUUAUGUAAGAAUCUAAUUUAAAAUAAUAUAUAUUAUUUUAUUAUAUAUAAUAAUUUAUUUUAUGUAAUAAUUUAUUUUCUAUAAUUUAUUCAUAAUAUAUUAAUGAAUAAAGUAUAAUACUAACAAUAUCCCUAUAUUUUUAAUUAAUAAUUAGUAUAAAUUUUAAUACAAAUAAAAAAAAUAUAUAUAAUUAAAUAUUAAAGUAUAAAUGAUAGAGUUUAAUAAAAUAAAAAAUAUAUCAAAUUUAAUUAAUUUAUAUUAUAUAAUAAAAUUUAAGUAUAAAUAUAUUAUCAUAAAAAUUUAAGUAUGAAUUUCAAUACAUAUUAUAAAAUAUAUAUAUAAUAUAUGAUAAAAUGAUUUUAUGUAUAUAAUACUUAAUAUAAAAUAAAAUAAUUAAAUAUUAAUAUAUAAAUGAUAAAACUUAAUAAAAUAAAAUAUAUAUCAAAUUUAAUUAAUUUAUAUUAUAUAAUAAAAUUUAAGUAUAAAUAUAUUAUCAUAAAAAUUUAAGUAUAAAUUUCAAUACAAGUUAAAAUAUAUAUAUAAUAUAUGAAAAAAUAAUUUUAUGUAUAUAAUAAUUAAUAUAAAAUAAAAUAAUUAAAUAUUAAUAUAUAAAUGAUAAAACUUAAUAAAAUAAAAUAUAUAUCAAAUUUAAUUAAUUUAUAUUAUAUAAUAAAAUUUAAGUAUAAAUAUAUUAUCAUAAAAAUUUAAGUAUAAAUUUCAAUACAAGUUAAAAUAUAUAUAUAAUAUAUGAAAAAAUAAUUUUAUGUAUAUAAUAAUUAAUAUAAAAUAAAAUAAUUAAAUAUUAAUAUAUAAAUGAUAAAACUUAAUAAAAUAAAAUAUAUAUCAAAUUUAAUUAAUUUAUAUUAUAUAAUAAAAUUUAAGUAUAAAUAUAUUAUCAUAAAAAUAAUAUUUAUAUUAAUAUAUUUAUUUAUUAAAUUUGUGCAUUCAUUUAAUUUAUUUGAAAUUAAUUAAAAUAAAGUAUAAAAAAUUUAAAAGGCCAGAAAAAAAAAAAAAAAAGAAAAAAAAAAAGCCCAAACUCUUGUUCCGGCUUGUUCUCCCUUUUAGGGAGAACAAGUUUACCGGGUUGUUCCCGGCUUAACGGGUUGUUCCGGGAACAACCCGGUUGUUCCAAAAUGCUUUAUGUUUGGAGGGAUAUCCCGCCUUGUUCUGGGAUAUCCCUCCAACCAAACGCAGCCUUAGGUUUCUAUUUGUCUGCUUAUAUUGUUUUCAAAAGCCUUUGGGUGACGCUCUGGGUUGUUUUGAAAAUCUUUUCUUAGAAUAGCCAGCGAAAAAACGUAUAGUUUUUAGGCUAAAUUACAGAAAAUUUUUCUGUCAAAAUUCGAUUUUUUACUUUUCCUCCCUGUCAUUUAAAAAUCUACACUUUGGCCUCUUAUAAAAUAAAAAAUAUUCACAGGAAAUGGUGUGAACUGUGAUGAUAAAAUGACUAUUUUGCCCUUCACUAUUUUGCCCCUCAUCAUAUUCAUAGGAGAGAAGGCCGAGGGCAUUUUUGGCAUGAAAAAUAUAUAAUAAUAUUUUAUAAACGGAACCCUAACGGAUUACUAAUGGCAGGGGGCGAAGUGAACAUUUUUUAUUUUACAAAGGGGCAAAGUGUAGGUUUUUAAAUGACAGGGGGGAAAGUAAAAAAUCGGGUUUUGACAGGAGGGUUUUCUGUAAUUUAGCCUAGUUUUUAAACACAUUUAAAGAACACUCUACAACGAGCACAAAUCCGGCACAUGGACAGAGAUUUUUUUAUGCAAAGGAACUGAG
rnacentral:lncRNA from 1 species